rnacentral:lncRNA from 1 species
UGUAAUAGGCCAAUUUUGGCCUGGUUAAAAAACAAAUUACAAGCCCAAAUUAUAACCCAAUUACAUUAGCCUAAAACUAAAUCUAACCUAGCCCAAUAAACCCAUCAAAGCCCUUUCGCCUCAGUGCUGCAGCAGCAGCCUCCUUCCCAGCCUUGGCGCCGCAGCAACUGUCUUCGCGCACGAACGCACAACAGCCCCGUAUGUCGCGCACGUCGCCCUCGCACAGUCCACGAACUCUAAUUCAGUACACCUGUAAACCACGAAUAGCAUUAAUAGGACGAUACAUACAGAAAAUUGUAAAAAAUGGCUAUAAAAAGCCAAUCGAUUUAUGUAAUAGGGGUUAGCAAAUUUUGUAUUGGAAAAAACUGAAAAAGAAAAUACAAGAGAAAAAAAAAGCAUUUUUUGAAGGUGAGAGAUUUUGUUUUUUUUUUCUUUCUUUCUUUUUUUACUGUUUUUAUUUUUAUUUUGUUUCUGAAAACAAAAAACGAAGAGGGGAAGGAAGGGGAAACUUACCGUCGCGAGCGGCGUCGGAGGAUCUCUUCGUUCCGUCGUCGGAAUGAGAGGUAUGCGGAGUGGCAGUGAGGGAGGAGAGCUGCGGCGCAUUUGUGGGGUGGCUGAAGAAGUGAUUUUUAGGGUUUUAAAAUUGGCUUUUAUAGGGUAUUCUUAAAAAUGGGUCAUUUUCUCGAUUGGUCCCCCUGUUUUUGCAGUGUUUUUAAUUUGUUUUUUAUUUCUUUAAAAUUUUGCAAAUUAUUUUAUUUCUGUUUCAAAUGGGUCCAAUGUUGCGCAGCGUUUUGGGGGGUUUGGGUAAAUUGUUUUUUUCAGUCCUCCUUCUGUUGCGCGUAUUUUAAUUUUCUCCCCUUCGCGUUUUCUAUUUUUGAAUUUAGCUUUUAAUUCUGCUAAUUUUCAAUUUAGUCCUUAAUCAUUCAUUUUAGGUUUUUUUAGUUUAUUUUAUUAAUAUUAUUAUUAUUAUUGUAUUAUAUAUUGUUAUCAUUAUACUUACAUAUAUAUGCGCAUAUGCAUGCUAAUUUGUAUAUAUAAAUAUUUUAAACGUUUAUUAUAAACAUAUUUUAUUAUUAUUUUAUUUUCAUAGUUUUAUAUAUAUGUAUAUGCGUUUAUAUUUUAUAAUAUUCAUACAUUUUCCAUAUUUAUAAUUCAUACAUAUAUACAUUUUUUUAUAUAAUAUAUAUAUUAUUCAAAACUAUUAUAAAUAUAUUUUUCACAUUUGUUUUAUAUAUACGUACAUAUACAUGCUUUCAAAAUUUUUUUGUAUACUUUUUAAAAAAAAAAGGAAAUGCAUGUACAUAUUUUAUAUUUUAUUUCCAUAACUUUAGUAUACAUAUAAUUUAAAUUAAAGUACUUAUUUCAUAUUGUACAUUAAUUUUUUUUUGACCUACCUUUUAGAAAAUAUAUAUUUUGAUUUCUGCAAAACAUUAAAAUCAUUUUCUUUUGAUUCAAUGGUUUUUCAAAUAAAAGUGAUAUUCAAAGUAUGGGAUUUUCGAGGAAGUUAAGCCCUAACGUAUUGGGUUCCGAUUUUUUUUGUUAAUCUUAAAUAACUGAGAAUAUUCCUUAUUUAAAAUGCGUAAGCAAAAAAAAAAUCAUUUUCGGGAAUUCAACAUAUUAUGUCCUAACGUAUUGGGUAUGACAUAUUGUUUUCUUGAGGUGAAGAUUUUCUCUAAAAUAAAAACAAUAUUCAAGGUUUGGGGAUUUUGAGAAAUUGUACCCUAACGUAUUGGGUCUCGAUUUCUUCGUUUGACUUAAACAUUUGAUUAUCUUUUUCGGAUUUCACCAUUUGAGCUUUUUUUUUAAAUCUUUUUAAUUUUCGACACCAAGACAUUAAAUAAUCAAUUUGGUACCGAUUUUGGGCGUCACGAGGGUGCUAACCCCUUCCUCGUGCGUAACUGACUCCCGAACUCAUUUUCUCAAAUUUCGUAGACCAAAAUAUUUUUUAAGGUGAUCCGAUCACACCUCAAUAAAGGAUCGGUGGUGACUCCAGUUUUUUUUUUUUUUUUUUUAAAGUCAACAAUUAAAUUUUUGCUUUCAAAAAAUGGUUUCGACAAAUGUAAUGCAAAUAAUAUAACCAUAUAUGCACUCAAUCGUAAUUACUCUUCCCAUUAUAUUCAUUCUAAAUCGGAGCUAUAAUUUGUAUGUGAAAUACCAUCAUCUUCUUUCAAAAACAAUUUCUCAUUCUUAAACAUAUUUUAUAUUUAUUUCUACAUUUUGGAUUAUAGAUUGGAUGCUUUUAAGUUCCUAUAGAAUUAGAGUUUGUGUGCUCUCUAAAAUGUUUAACGAAAAAAAUGAGAAGACUAAUGAAUGGAGAAAGGCGACUCUUCAUUUGCCCCUUUCAUCCGCAUGUUAUACACUUUAACUCUGAGUAAAAUCUGAUUCGAUUUAAAAAACUUGAUAAAAAUUUUAAAUUUUGAUUUAACUAGUUCAAGUUAUUUGAGUUAAUCAAGUUAUUCGGAUAAACUCGAAUAUGAAUUACACAAUUCGAGUUAUUUUGGUUAAUGCCUUUCUUCAAGUAAUCGUAGCUAAGCUUAAGAGGCUCGAGGACACCCCCGAGGACUUCUUCAUCAUACAAAAGCGUUGAGUCCUUGAAUCUCUGAUUUGCGUCUCUCCACCCAUUUAAACUCUCACCUUUUAAAGCUUUGGCCACGACAACAAUUGCAAGAGGCAAUCCCUUACAUUCAGCAGCAACCUCUUUGGCUACAUCAUUCAAGGUGGAACAAUCAUCUUCUAAACCAGCUUUAUCUCGAAAUAAAACCCAUGCUUCGUCUUCGGAUAAGAUGCCAAGUUGAAUUUCCUUACAGUUCAUUUUAGUGCAGACUUGUUGACGACGUGUAGUCAGAAGAAUUUUACAACCCUCGUGUUCAUCACCGAAUGGAAUUCCGAUACUCUCCAUUUUGAAUUCUUCCCAGAGGUUGUCGACAAUUACGAGGAUUUUGUUCACGCCUUGCAUACUCCUGAAUAGCUCUUCUGCUCUCCCUUCUUCGGUAUUUGUAUGAAAAUUUAAACCAAACAUCUCUGCAACUUUAUCUUGAAUUGUUCUGAUGUUUGGAUUUUGGGACAUAGUAAACAUCACAACUUUAUCAAACAACUUUUGUUCUCGAGCAUGCUUCCCAACUUCUUUGGCUAAACUUGUUUUACCAACUCCUGGCAUUCCGUGCAGUCCGAUCAUGUUGACACCCUUAGCAUUUAUAGCCUCCAUGAUCUGGUUGAAAGCUGAUAUUGAAGAUUCAGAGUCCAUGAAAUCAGUGGAUGUGAUGAACUCUAUUCCUUGAAGAGGACGACGAUAGCCCACCUGUGCAAAGUUAGAAGUCUGUAAAAGUUUAGAGAUAAUAGGAAUCUUCUCUGCCAGUUUCUUACUUAAGGAAUAUCGCCAGCCCCAUUUAGGACACCAUUUGAAACACUUGACGCGAUCUAUUUCAUCUUUCAAGUUCUGGGUUUCUUUCAGUUCUUUCUCAGCGCUUGUAAGCCAGUUGUCAACGUCCUUAUGGAUGAGCUCAUUUUGCCUUUCAGCCUCAUCGACACGAAUUUUCACCCUCUCUUUCUUUAAUUCAAGUGCUUCUCGUUGAUUCUUGAAAUCUUCAACAAUCUCUCCAUAACGGAAAAAGUAACGAAGAUAGGGUGAUGCGUAUUCCUUUGCCUGGUCUGCCACAAUUUCGACAGCAGGAGGGGCAACAUAUUCGGCCAUUUUUGUUGAUAGUCUGAUGAGGUUGAACAAAAACAUUGGUUAUUAGUAAGAAUUAACAUAAAGAGAAAUGAAAGCAAUUGUGACAAAUAAAAUCAGUAUUUGUAGUAAAAAAAUCGAGUGGAAGCUACCAAAUAAGAUUAAGCUGUAAAUAUUGAUGUAAAGCAAAGAUGUUAUUAUUGAAGAAGGUAGAAAAUACCUCUGUUUCUGUCUGCGAAUACCAGAAAGUAAAAAGAGCUUGAGAGAAAUAAGUAGCUGUAAAAGAUGAAAAGAAUUGAUUUAGUGCAGGUAAUAAAAUUGAGAGCGUGUUUUAACCUUCAUAUCACAAAUAAAUAAAUAAUUAAUGUAAUGCAAAUAAUAUAAGCAUACAUGUAAUUACUCUUCCCAUUAUAUUCAUUCUAAAUCGGAGCUAUAAUUUGUAUGUGAAAUACCAUCAUCUUCUUUCAAAAACAAUUUCUCAUUCUUAAACAUAUUUUAUAUUUAUUUCUACAUUUUGGAUUAUAGAUUGGAUGCUUUUAAGUUCCUAUAGAAUUAGAGUUUGUGUGCUCUCUAAAAUGUUUAAUGAAAUAAACGAGAAGAACUAAUGAAUGGAGAAAGGACACUCUUCAUUUGCCCCUUUCCUGUUUCAUCCGCAUGGUACACACUUCAACUCCAUAAAAAAAUUAAAUUUUAAAUUAAUUAGUUCAAGUUAUUUGAGUUAAUCAAGUUAUUCGGAUAAGCUCAAAUAAAAAAUUAAUUUUUUUGGUUAAACUCGAAUAUGAAUUACACAAUUCGAGUUAUCCGAAAAUCUGAAUUAGAAAAGGCAAAACUAUGUCGUUUGAUAAAUGUGUAUCUUUCUAAAAUUAAAAAUCAAAACCAUUAAGUUAAAAGACAAAAUUAUGUCAUUUUGGUAAAUGUUUACUCAUUAAGUUAAGAGGCAAAACCAUUAUAUUGUUUAUGUAGUUAAAUAAUAUUAUACUUCGUCUACUAGUUAAACAAUCGGUCCAUGUAAAUGUAACAUUUAAUAUAAAUAAUAGGAUUCGUUAACUUGACUCAACUUGACUUGAAAUUUUUUACUCGAUUUGAUUUGAUUAAAAAAAUCAAAUUGAGUUUGGUUGCUAAGAUAGGAUUCAUCAACUCGAUUAACUCAAAUUUUUUAACUCGAUUCGACUCGACUUAAUCAAAUACUCACCUUAGUUCCAAGGUUCUUGUUCUAGUUUAUUCAAAUCUUUAAAAUAAAUCUAUAAACUCUUUAAUUAAGACGGAACUUGUAUGAAACCUUUCUUUAUAAAAAAUAAAAUCACAAGUGAUUUAAAAUGACUCCAACCAAACCAAUAAAUAAAACGGAGAUCCACUGAACAAAAACAUGAAAAUAUAUAGCAAUGAGGAGCAGUUCCUCAAAACUUACCUUCACUCAACUAUCCUCUGCGCUGUUUCUUUUGCCAAGUGGAAAUCAAGGUAUGAAGAAAGUUUGGUUUUCAGAAAUAAAAAAAAGUUUGCAGGAUUUUUUCCCUUAAUUGAGACAAUACAAGAAAAUGUGAAAACUGAAAAACAAAUAGUGGAAUUUAUCACACACGCAGAUUUUUUUUUUUAUUUAUUUGGUGAUGAUCACAGACACAGAUUUGAGAAUAUGGAAGCAAAAAAGGAAAUGACCAGAAACACAGAUUUGAGAAUAUGGAAGCAAAAAAGGAAAUGAUGAGAAACACAGGUUUGAGAACUUGGAAGCAAAAAACACAUUGGAUGAGGAAGAAGAAUGGGAAGUCGUUGCUUUAACUUUCAAAUGUUUUUCUUCAUCAUUUCUUAUUCACAAAUAAAGACCCUACUUUUUUUUAUUUAAAUUCAUACAACAAAUUGUUGUUCAUCAUUCUUUUCUUUGUUAUAAUAAAAUAAUCAUUAUUUUUAUUACCAUUAAAGUCAAUGUCUUUGUUAAUGUAAAAUCCCAUCUUUUAUAUUUUUAUUUAUUUUAAUUACCGUUAACAUUGAAGUUUUUAUUGAAGUAAAAUAUAUAAAGCUGCUUUUUGUUAUUGAAUAUUAUAAUAUUUUAUAUAUACUCUAAUGUAUAGUUAAAUCAUUAUUAAUAAAGAUUUGAUAAUAUAUUAUUUAAUGUCUAUUAUUUUAUUUAUUUUUAUUACCAUCAAUCGUGAAAUUUUGACUAACCUAAAACUUUAAAUUGAUUAUUUUUACUAAAUUAACAAUAGAUUAAUUUAUAUAUUUAUUUAUGUUGGUACAUAAAUAAAUUGAAAUGUAAUAAAUUAAAAUAAAAUUGUAAUUUCUUCAGUAAGUUUUAGGCAUAGUAGUAACACAUGUUACACUUUUAAAGAAGUUUAAAUUCGAAUCUAAAAAAUAUUAUUGAAAGGAUAUCUGUGAACCCUAUCAAAGUUAAUUUUCAUAUAAACAUAUCGAUUAAAAUUUUUAUUAUUUCAAACUUCACUAAUGAUUUUUUUGUUAAUAUAAUCAAUCAUUUUUAUUUUAAUGUAUUAGACAAACAUAAUAUCAAUUAUUUGCUAUCUUUAAUUGAAGGAUACAACAAGUUGAAAGUUUCUCCCUCAAAUAAGAAAAAUAUCAUUCUUUUAAGCAUUUUAAUAAAAUAUUAUAAAUUACCAAUAAUCUUUUGGCUUAGUGGCAAAGAGUAUUAGGUAGUAAGCACGAGAGUUUGGGUUCAAUCCCAAAGAACCCUAACCAUUAUCUCCAAAUUUGUUGAGAAAUAUGUCUAUAUUGUAGUAAACAUGAAAUUAUUUUUUAUGUACUUGAACGAUGAAUAAAUAAAUAAAGUUAAUUUCACAUUUCACUAUUAUGUAUUUGUGUUUUUGUCUUUCAUAUUUUGCAUAAAUAGAAAUUUUUUUAUAAGCAAAUGUUAGCUCAAUGAUUUUCUAAGUUCAAACUAAUGAUAAGUGGCACUGUAAGAACGUUUAGAUUACAAGAAAGACAUCUUACUUUAAUAGAUAAUCUAAACGAGUUCAUAAUCCUGUAAAAGAAUCAAAGAGUGCAUUUGAUUCAAAUACUUAAAAGGAUUAUUAUGUCAUCUUCAAUUCUAAUUAGGGAGAUGACUAAUUUUAUCUAUCGCAAUAGUUGACACCACGGGUAAAAACAUAGAUAUACUCAUUGGAAGAAUGAUAUAUUGAAUUGAAUCCGAGUUGAAUUAAUACUGAAUCCGGUUGUGAAUUAAUUCACAUCUAACGUUCAUGGUGUGUGACCUGUUGUCAAUUGUGGUGGUAGUUUUAGUACAUUUCGACACUUCACAAACUUGUUUUAUGAACAUUUUAUAUUUAUUUAUUACAUUUUCAGCUUUCGCAGUUUAGAUUUAAUUAUUUACAAAAUAAGUGUUUUUAUUCACUUUUUAAUAUUUUGAAAUCUCAUAAGGCCAACUUGGACCUCCAGAGUGACUAAUAGGCUAUUUGGGUGUGUAGGUAUCAAUUCAAGCCCUAAUUAUUCUAAACUCCUAAAUUUUAGGGUGUUACAAUAUGAAUUCUAAAUUGAUUUACCCAUAAAAAUAAAUAAAUCGAUCUCUGGGACAAAAAAUUAAAAGAAAUUAAAAUAAAUUAUAAAAAUCCAAAGAGGAAUAACCAUGGUUAAGCCAUGUAAUUAGAGCAGAACAAAUAUUUAGUUCACAGCAUGUAAUAUCUACACCACUUUUGCUAGUGGGAUAGGUAUUGUUAAUGAAUUAUUGACGUUGUUAUUUUUUAUUAUUUUUAUGAUGAAUAAUUAAUUAUCAAGAGUCUUCACCACUUUCGCUACUGGGACAGGCAUCGUUGAUGAAUUAUUGAUGCUAUUACUUGUUACCCUACUAUGGUCCUAAAUUGUUUUUUAUCAUUUUGAUUUUUAAUCUCUAAAAUUAUAUGAAAAUGUUAUAUUACGAUUAUAUGAAAAUUAUAUGAAAGUUAUUCCAUUAUAGUAUUGCGAUUGAGUUCUCCCUUAUUACAUACCAUUACGAAAACUACUUAAUCAGUCCUCGUUCAAUGAUAUAGUCAUAAGCGUGUUACCCUCAUAGGAUAUCAUUAAUCUCUUCGAGAUAAAUUUGUUCUCCCAGUAUAAUCUUAUUUUAUGUCAUGGUAAUCAUUACAUCUUCCUUUAUGAAAAGUCAUGAAUUACUAUCAAAUAGUAAUAAUGUCGUUUAUCACAAAGAAAAACGAAGUGUAGUCACAUUUACUUUUAAUCGAUUAUGUAGUGCCAAUUAAAGGAUACCAUUUACUCAUUUCUCGAGCUUUGAAUUCCACUAUUUUGAAUAACGCUACAUAAUGUACAAGUCGUAUACCCAACACACUAACUUUCAGUUCCUUAUCUAUUUGGACUCAAGCUUUUACUUACAUCAAAGUAUACAAGUCACGCAUACAUAGUCCUUCAUCCACUCAGGAUUAAUGUAUGUCACACUAUGAACAUCACAAGUGAAUGAAUCCAUAAAUGGAUAUAAAAUCUAUUCUACUUGGGUCUUGUCCGAUGUGUUGUCAGUCCAGUUAGUCACAUCUAUAUCUCUAUCUUUGGGGAGUCAUCUGCUUUGAAGCCCAAGACAAAACUUCUCCCCCAUUACACUUGACAGACAACAUAUUAGUCUUUCAAUCGGUUUGCUAAUUUCUAGCUAGACUAAGGACAUGUUUAGGUUCAUCUAUUAAUAAAAGUUAUUUUUCCAUAUUACGAUCUAACCACGUAAUAUCACUUUUAAAAAUAGCAUAACAUAACUUAAUGAAUUUAACAAUUACCAUUUGAUCAUGACUGAAAUUUUAAAUUUAAAAAAAUUAAGGUUGAAAAUUAAUCAAAAUAAAAUAUAAAAAUUAAAUAUACAACUUACACAAAAUACAAAAAUUAUUAAUAAAAUUUAACUAUUUAAAUUAUAAAUAGAAUUUAAUCAAGUCUUACUUUUGAAAACUUUUAGAGUUAUUGAUUUCACUUUUAUUUGUUUAUUUAUUUUAUUUUUACGUUUAGAAUGAAAUAAUAGUUGAAAGAAGACAGAAUGAUGUCAAAAGGAUUUUUAAAAUGGAAAGAUAAGCAUUAAACAUAAGAAAGAAAAAGUGAUUAUUUUAUUUAAAAGAAAUAUGGUGUUUACUUAUAAUUUAUCGCUUCAAUUCUUCAAUACCUUUGCUAUCUAAGAUACCAUUUUUACUUAUUUUGUUUUCAUUUUGGUAAUUAAAUUUCUUAUCUUAAAUUAUACCUAAAUUAUUUUUUUCUAAGUUCACAUUUUGUUAAUCAAAUAGUUAGAGAAACAGUUAAAUCUAUUUAAAAAUAAUUUUAACUCAUAAAUUGGUACCUAAAUUCUGUCAUUUUUUAAAUUUUGAUACUUAAAUAAAAAAAAAAUUAUCACAAAUGCUACUUAAGUCAUUUUUUUCCCAAGUUGAUACCUAUGUUGUUAUGCAAAUUGUUUAGUUUAUAGACAGAGUUUCAUUAAGUCUUAUUGUUGAAACCGUUUUUUGAAAACAAAAAUUUUGGUUGUCGACUUUAAAAACAAAACAGGAGUAGCCACCGAUCCUUUAUUAAGGUGUGAUCGGCCCACCUUAAAAAUAAUUUUGGUCUGCGAAAUUUUAGAAAACAGGUUCGGGAGUCAGUUACGCACGAGGAAGGAUUAGCACCCUCGUAACGCCCAAAAUUGGUACCAAAUUGAUUUUUUUUAAUGCUUUGGUGUCGAAAAUUUGAAAAGAUUUUAAAAGAAACUUUUUAUUUCAUGAACGAAUUAAAAUAAUAAGACAUUCUUUAUUUCAAAGAAAUAAAACACCACACCCAGUGAGUUAGGGCAUAAUGUUUUUAAAUCUUCAAAAUACCCGAAUAUUGCCUUUUGUUCUUGAAAAUUCUUAUUUCGAGAAGUCAAAAAUAUCAGGACCAGUAAGUUAGGACCCAACAUUUUGAAUCCCCGAGAAUAAGCUUCAUUUGAAAUUUGUGAAUUUAUUGCAAAACAAAUACUUGGCUCUCUAAAUUCAUCGAAAAAUAAUCGCGAUCCAGUAAGUUAGGACACGAUAUUUCACGAGAAUCAUGAAUGCCAAAUAUUUUGGAAUUUAUAAAAUAGGAUGAUUUAAAUACUUUGAGAAAAUCGAAAUAUAUAUUUUUAAAAUGGAUGCUAAAAAAGGGUUAAGGUACAACAUGGAACAAAUACUUUAAUUUAAAAUGUAUAUGUAAAUUGUAAAAAUAAAAUAAAAGUAUAAAGAUAUGCAUAUGUGUAUAUAUUUACAGAAAUAAAAAAUGUAUAAGCAUAUAUAUGUGGGUAAACCAUGAAAAUAUGUGUACAUUUAAAUGCUUAUGUAUAUAUGUACAAUAUGUAUAUAAAAAAUGAUAAAAAAUAUUUACAAUGAUUUUAAAGAAAAAUGUGUACAUAAAUAUAUUAUAGAAAAUGUAUGUGUAUUUUAAAUGUGGGAGUGGUGAAGAUAAAAUAAUAAUAAAUAAAAUAUAAAUAAAUAUGUACAUGUGAAUCAAUAAAAUAAAAAUAUAAAAUUAUAUAUAUACAUAUAUAUUUACAAAAUAAAAAAUGUGUAAGUAUGUAUAAAAUAUGAGCAUGUGAAAGAAAAAUAAAAACUAUAUAAAAAGAAAUUUUAAAAAUGUGCGAAUGAAAUAUAUGCAUGCAUGUAUAAAAGCUUAAAAUAUAUAUUAAAUAUGCAUGUAUGUUAUACAUAAAAUAUGCGUAUGUAUGAAUGAAAUAAUAAUAAUAAUGUUAAUAAUAAUAACAAUAAAUAAAAUAAAAUAAAAUAAGGGUAUAGCAUAAUUAUGAUAAGAAACUAAAAUGGGUUAAAUUGAAUUAAAAACAGAAAAAAUGGGGCGAAUUUAGAAUAAAUUUAAAAAGAAAGGACCCACUUGAAUGCGCGCGUGACAACGGAGGACCAAAAGGGAAAUUAUCCCGUCCUUCCAAAACGCAGUGCAGCGGGGGACCCAAUUGAAUCAAAAAUCAAACAUGCAACCCAAUUUUUAAAAAAACAAACAGGUUUAAUUUGGUGUGCAUUGCAAAAGGGAGGGACUUAUAGCGCAAAUCUCCCAUCUAAAGGAAAAGCGCGGAUCCUGGGACCGGGUCGGGUCGCCGCGCGGAUCCCCCCAAAACGGCGCCGUUUUGUCCUUCUAUUUAAAACAACUUUUCCUUUAGAAAACCAUUUGAAACCGAAUGAAAGGGGAAGGAAAAAAAAUAAAUAAAAAAAGUUCAAAUACCCUCUGCUAGGGUUCAUUACUGUACCGCCGCCGCCCUCAACCGAUCGACCAGUUCGGAUCCUGGCCGUUCAAGGCGAAUCGCGCUUCGGGUUUCAUCGGCAAGACCAUGCAGGUAAGCCUCCUCCCUUUCCUUUUAUUAUUUCUUUUUUAAAUAAAAACAAAUGAAAUAAAGAGAAUAAAAAACGAAAAAAAAAGAACCCGAUUUCACCUUGAAUCAAAAAAACAAUCUGUAUUCUCAGUACUUUUCUCUAUUUCUUGCGUAUCUUCUCUGUUAUUCCCCCCCUUUUUACAGAUUUCUAAAGGCUUUUUAUAGCCCGAAAAAGAAAAAGAAAAAUAAUAAAAUCAAUAUAUGUCUUUGCUGUUUUUUCUUUUUCGGAUUCUUUGAAUCCGUUUUUGCAGGUGUCGUGGAGCGAACGGCGCGCGUGGGGAGGCCGAUCUCCGAGUCCUGCGGCGGCUGGAGGCUGGGGAGGUUGCUGCUUGUUGCGGCUACUUGCUGCUAGGGUUUUCUGCAGUAUUGGGCUAGUUCAAUUGGGCCUAAAUGUGUUGGGCCAUUCUAGGUUUAGUUGGGCCCGGGCAUUAUUGGGUUUGUACACUUAUGUUUUAGAAUAUUUUAUUUAAAAUAUCUUAAUUAGUGAAAGAUAAAGUCUUAUGUUGCUAGCAUUACCAAACAUUAUAAAGGAAUAAGAAAACAAUAUAAAAAUAAAUAAAAGAGAGAGAGAAAACAUGUAAAAAAGAGAAUUAAAAUUUAUUUUUUAAAGUCUAUAUGAUGUGGCAUUCUAUAAUUGGUUGGAAUUUUUUUAAAGGAUAUAACAAUUUGGUGUAAAAUGGGUAACAAAAGAAUAGUUUAGGUACCGCUUGUGAUUACAAAAAGUUUAGAUACCAACUUGGAAAAAGAAAGUAUUGUUUAGGUAGUAAUUUGUGGGUUAAGUUAUUUUUUAAAUAAACUAAGAUUUACCAUAACUGUAAUUUUAGAGAGACCCGAAAGCGAAAGCCUAUGGGGUUGCUUCUGUAACUGGAUAACUAGCAUUAAAAAUCGUCUUUACAUCAGAUGGUUUGGUGUUUUGAUGAUCCCUUAUUGACCUCUACUUAUGUAUUUAUUAUCGCCUUCAUUGCUGCUCCUCCAAUGUUUCUAGAUCUCUACUUUAUGGAAACAAUAUUAUUUUUGGUGCCAUUAUUCCUACUUUUACAGCUAUAAGUUUGCACUUUUACCUAAUUUGGGAAGCGUCAUCCUUAUGAAUUAAUUGUUUUACACUUCUUACUUGGUGUAGCUUGUUACAUGGGCCGUGAGUGGGAACUUAGUUUUUGUUUGGGUAUGCGGCCUUGGAUCACUAUUGCAUAUUCAACUCCUGUUGUAGCUACUACCACCGUUUUCUUGAUCUAACAUGUGAAACGGAUAGAUAUAUUGCUUAGAGGUCCAAGGUUUAAAUCACACCUCUCUCAUUUUUCCUUUUUAAAUUUUCAGCAACCCAGGAUAAAAGCCAUACUAAAAUAAAUAUUGUUUAGAGUAGAAUUUAUUAAGAAAUGGGUAGCAAUCCAAUGGUUAAACACUUAUUCCUCUCUCAUGCAGCCCCUUCAUAUUUGAAAACUCUAGCUAUUUAGUCCCCUUUUUCCUAAUUACACUAGGAUUAUGUUUAUUUUUUCAUUCCAAUUAGAAUUUCUCUUCGCUCUCCCUAUUUCUUCUCAUAUUUCUUUUCCAUCGUCAUCUUUGCAUCAAAUUUUCUCUCCAUUGUUGAAACUAUUUCUUCUUUUGAUAUCAAAUCAAUCCCCGAUAAUUCGAUUCUCUACCAAUUGUUGAAUUCAUCAUUGAUAGCUUCCGUAAUUACAUCAAGUAUAGUAAGUGCCUCUCGAUCUAAAGUUUAGGACCCUAAAUUUCAUAAAUUUUUUAUCUGAUAUUGAUCUUUCAAAUCAAUUAGUCAAUCUUUCACAGUUCUUAAAAAAUCUUUCGUUAAUAUACAAAUGUUAACUCUUUUGUAAUUGUCGUUUGAAGGACCCAAUUUAAGGAUCCUAUAUCAGAUUUGAACGUGAGGGACAUCGCCCAAGAUCUUGAUAAGUUGGGGAAAAAUUGUGCCUAUGAUAGCACCACACAGUCUUCCACACAAGUGUGUGGGUCACACAACACCUCACACGACCAUGUCCCCCUGAAACCCAAGGAUCUUCGAUUCUCACACAGCCUAGGACACUUCAUAUAAUUGUGUCUCCCUUGCACCCUAAUUUUGCAUGAUCCACACGGCCACAGUCUGCCACAUGAUAGUGUAACCCCUUCGCAUGGCUGAAGGCAUUGCACACGACCAUGUGCCCCUAUUUUGAAUUUUUACCUAGAAUUUUAUGAUUUGUUCAGUUUAGCCCCUCUUUUUUUUAUCUAUAUCUAACGACUACUCUUACUUGUUACUAGACGACUAAGCAAUUCCUUAAAAUAAAAAAAAAAGAAAAAAGAGGGCUUCCAACAAAAAAACAAAACCUCUUGUGCAACUACGAAAAAAAGUCAAUUUUUAUAUUUCGCAUCUAAUUGACUUGCGGAAAUAUGAUAAUUUCCUUCAUGAAUUAUUAUAAACCAACUCGUUGGAUUCACGGGUUACCUGAUCUUCCGUUUCUAGGCCCAAGCCAAUACCUCCAGGAAUUUGAGGAAUUUUCUAUUGCAUGAUACCUGGUUAUACAUCGACAAGCAAGAAGAAGAAAGAAAUUAUCUAGCACUUCACGUCGAUAUACUGUUUGAAAUUGGAGUUAUUUUAUUUAAAAAUAUCAUUAAUUAGUGGAAGACGAAGACAUCCGCUUUGUUGGAGUAGUUGGUUUUACCUUUUAUUUAUUUUAUUUUUGAAUUCAAAAGAUAAGCAUUAAGAAUAACUAAACAUAAGAAAAAGAAAACAUUGAAAAGGGUUUUGGUUUAUUAUUUUAUUAAAAUCUUCAAUAGCUUUGCCAUCUAAAUAUUUUUCUUUCAUCUCAGUAUUUAAAUUUAUUUUUGGUCACAAGUGAUAUGUAAAUUAUUUUUUUCUUAAAAAUUAUCUCUAAUUAAAAAGUUGUCAUUAAGAAUUAAAUUCUGAAUAUCUUUAAUGCCAAUUAAAUGAUGAACCUUAUUAUAAUAACUAAAGUUGUCACUUAAACAUGAAUAUUUUUAUCUGUAUCAUUUUCAACCUUUGUUAGUCAAAUAAUCAAUCAAACUAUUAAGUCUAUUUUUUUAAAAGGUGUUAUGGUGUAUUAGAGUUUUAAGGGUUUGAGUGUAAGAGCUGCUUGUGAAUGUGCUACUUGGUGUUUCAGUGUGACCUCCAAUUUUGAAUCACUAAUCCUUUGGUUGGUUUUCCCUUUUGGGGGAUUAAUAAUCUUUUACAUCCGCUUUUAAUAAUAUGUAUAUAUAUAUACUAGUUUAAAUACCACAUGUGGCAUAUGUGAUUAUUAUGAGAUUUCAAUAUGAUAAAUUAAUUUAAAAAUAUUAAAAAAAAGACUUGAUAAUUAAAUAAACUAAGACUUACUAUGACUGCAAUUUUAGAGAGAUGUGAAAGUGAAAGCCUAUGGGGUUGCUUCUGUAACUGGAUAAUCAGCACUAAAAAUCAUCUUUACAUCGAAUAGUUUGGUGUUUUGAUAAUCCCUACUGUAAGGCCCAAUAUUUGCCCCGCCCGUAAUAAAAAAAUCAAAUCAAAUUUUAUAAAUAAAAAUAAAAACAAAAACUUUUAAAAGUCCAUCAGUCCAUAGUUACAAACCCAAGUUACAGAGGUCCAAUCACCUAACCCUAAGCCCAUUACAUUAAAAAAAUAGAAUCGAAACCCUAGCCCUCAGCAGCUAUCGCGCCGCAAUCGAACACGGGAUCUCCUCCGCGCCAUACCAGCAUCGCCCUCUACGUCACCGUCAUGCACCUCCGUACACUCCAGCUGGCCUCCGUACCUGCAGCACACAGACAAAGAAACGAUAAAAAAAGAAAGAAACGAAAUAACAGAAAGAGGAUUUUGUAUUUUUCCUUUUUAUUUUAUAUUCUGUAUUUUCGGCUAUAUAAGCCAAGAUUCGAACCCUGUAUGUUGGUUACGAAGAUUUGAUAACAAAAAAUACAAAAAACAAAACAGAGGUGAUUUGAAAUUUACAUCUUUUCUUUUCGAUUUCUUCUUUCUUUUCUGUUUUUAUUCAAUAUUAGUUUGAGAUACUCCUUGUCUGUAAAAGAGAAUAAAGAGAAAAAAAAGGGGUCUUACCUCGCAAUGCCUUCAAGUCCGCCUGAAAAGGAGCCAAAAAGCCCCAUGUGGUCAGGCUCUGACCACCAUCCAUGGUGGAAUCAAUGCGGAGGAGAGGUGUAAAAGGCUAGGGCCGAAACCCUAGCAGAGAAAUAGAAGCAACAUUUUUUUUCUUUUUUUUGGGGCAUAUGUUGCUUAUGUCUUUCUUUUAAUGAAAUUUUUGUUUAAGUAGCAACGCAAUACGGCGCCGUUUCAUAAUCCUAUAAAAGAAUCAAAGAGUGCAUUUGAUUCAAAUACUUAAAAGGAUUAUUAUGUCAUUUACAAUUCUAAUUAGGGAGAUGACUAAUUUUAUCUAUUGCAACAGUUGGCACCACAGGUAAAAACAUAGAUAUACUCAUUGGUAGAAUGAUAUAUUGAAUUGAAUCCGAGUUGAAUUAAUACUGAAUCCGCUUGUGAAUUGAUUCACAUCUAACGUUCAUGGUGUGUGACCUGCCGUCAAUUGUGGUGGUAGUUUUAGUACAUUUCGACACUUCAUGAACUUGUUUUCUGACCAUUUUAUAUUUAUUUAUUAUAUUUUUAGCUUUCGCAGUUUAGAUUUAAUUAUUUACAAAAUAAGUGUUUUUAUGCACUUUUUAAUAUUUUGAAAUCACAUAAGGCCAACUUGGACCUCGAGAGCGACUAAUAAGCUAUUUGAGUGUGUAGGGUGUCAAUUCAAGCCCUAAAAUAUAAAGGACAACGGACUUCAUUAGGAAACAUUUGACUUAAAUUCCUAAUUUUUAUUAUAUAAUUUGACUUAAAUUCCUAUUUUUUUCCUUGAAAUAGACACCCCCCUAAUUUUCCCAGGUUGAUAUGAAUUAUAACUUGAUUUGCUUUAGAAUUUAUAUGAAUUGUAAUUUUUUUUCUUGAAAUAGGCGCUAUAGGCUCACUAUUAACAUUUAAUUUAUUUUUACUUUUUUUAAAGUUAAGUCCUAAUUUAAUUAAAACACACUAUUUUCAAAUUAGACCUCUUAAUUAGAUUAAUACAAUAUGAAUUUUAAAUUGAUGUACCCAUAAAAAUAAAUAAAUCAAUCUCUCGGACAAAAAAUUAAAAGAAAUUAAAAUAAUUUAUAAAAAUCCAAAGAGGAAUAACCAUGGUUAAGCCAUGUAAUUAGAGCAGAACAAAUAUUUAGUUCACAGCAUGAAUAUGAAUAUGAAUUUGAGUUUAGUUUUCUUUACGCUCCUCAAAUAAUGGAAGAAAAGAAUAGUGAGAAAUUACUACUUACCGAGAUUGUGGGUUUCUUCGCUACUUUUUAGGAAUUGUCAAUGAAGUCUUCACUAUUUUAUGAUGGAUAAUUAAUUAUGAAGACCAAAUUUAAGUGUUCACCUUUUUAUUAUUUUAAUGGUGGUUAAGCCAUGUGAGCAAGUAUUUCACUUUUCCUUGCGCUCCCCAAAGAAAUGAAGAAAAGAAUAGAGAAUAGAGAAUAAAGAUUAUAGGUUUCUUCACCACUUUGGCUAGUGGGACAGGCAUUGCUGAAUGAAUUGAAGGAAAGAAUAAAGAUGAUGACAAAGUCGUCAAACAAAGAUUGUCGGUUUCUUCACCACUUUGGCUUGAAGUGCAGGCAUCGUACUCAAAGAAUGAAUAAGGAAUAUGGUUUCUUCACCAGUUUGGCUAGGCAUUGUUGAUGCUGUUACUUUUUACUAUUUUUAAUUUAAGAAUGGAAGAAAAGGAUAUAAUUUUCCUUACAAUGAUUAGAUAGACGGGUCCCAUUAUAUCUCAGUUUCUAAUUACAUUAUCCACACAACGUCAGACACAUUGCGUUCCCUGUCUAACUCACAAGAGAACUAUUUCAUUAUUUAAGAUAUUUGUUCUCUUUCAACUUCAAAUUUUAUUGUUUGUGUUUUUAUUUUAAAAUUGUUUUUUUAGUUUUAUAUAAAGAAAAUAUGAAAAGAAAUAAAAAAACUCUAAAAUAAUAAUUAAUAUUUUAAGAGGAGAGAUCUAGUUACACUCAUAUAAAACUUAAGUAGUUUUGCGUAUUUUUUUGUAUGACUAAUAUUUUAAUAAUUUAACUAUUGUAUAUAUCAAUAUAAUUGUACUUAUAAUGUAUGUAAAUUUUCAAACCAGUUCUAUAUACAUUGGGUUUGAGAACAGUUAGAAAGUUUUUCUAUAUAAAUUGGGUUUGAGAACAGUUAGAAAGUUUUUUAUUUUUUUCAUAAAACAAAUAAUUAUAAAUUUUUCUGUUAUCCAUCACCAGCAACAGUGAUUAUUCACUAGGUUGUGGAUACCAUUUGAAGAGUUAAACGAUUGGCUAAAAAAUACGCUCCGUUCCUAUGCAUGAAGAUGAAACCUUUGAAAACAUAAUUAAGAAAUGAGAUAAACAAUCACCAUAUUAUGUCUCAUGAUUAAUAUUAAAAAAUUAAUUAUAUAAAUAAAUACAAAAGGUAUAAAACUACCUGUAGAAGUUUGCCCUAUUAAACUUACUAAUUGUAACUCAUCCUAAGUGUAUUUUACCCUAUUAAUUAAUCCUCCCAAAAAAAGAAAUUGUAUUUCCGUUCUAUUUGAUGUCAGCUUGGUUGGGCUCCAACACCCGUGGGAAUGCCUGUAAAUCAUGCUGAUUCACGUAUAUUAAAAGCAGACCUCAACAGUCCAAUAUUGUGGGAGUAAAACAUAAUUACACUCCCCAUCUACUCUUUACCAACUAUCCAUCCCCCAACCUAACCUUCUUUUCACUAAAAUAAACUAAAGCCAACUUAAAUUAAAUAAACCGAUGUCAAGAUGUUUUAGUUUGAGGUUAAAUUUUAGUUUCAGUUUCAAAUCCUUCAUUGAUAAUAAGUCUUCUCUUUCAAUUGAUAAGUUUAUUAUAAUGAUUGAAGAUGUCUUAGACUACCAAUCCUUAUGUGUAAAUUAAUUGCGGGAUCGCCUAACAACUAACCUAUUCCAAAUGAACGACCACAAACAUGCGUACACGAUUUAACUCUUCAAUAGCCUUGUGAGCUAGAAGGGUUCGACUCGAAUCAACAACCUCGACUGCGCUGACCGUUUUAAUCCGAUUGCUAUUUCCCUUGACGAAUCCAACCACUCACUCAAUUGGACACGCCAAUGUGUUCUUCAGUAAAUCGAAUAUGACAAUCGAUCGUAUCGAUUCUUCCAACUUGAAGCCGCACAACAUCAGAUUAACGGGUUCUUUUUUAUUUUAUGUCAAUACGACUUCAUGAAACGACGGUAUUUAUCUCGUCAAUAAAAAUAUAUGAUGUAUUAUUUUAAUGGUGGUUAAGCCAUGUGAGCAAGUAUUUCACUUUUCUUUGCGCUCCCCAAAGAAAUGAAGAAAAGAAAAGAGAAUAAAGAUUAUAGGUUUGUUCACCACAUUGGCUAGUGGGACAGGCAUUGCUGAAUGAAUUGAAGGAAAGAAUAAAGAUGAUGACAAAGUCGUCAAACAAAGAUUGUCGGUUUCUUCACCACUUUGGCUUGAAGGACAGGCAUCGUACACAAAGAAUGAAUAAGGAAUAUGGUUUCUUCACCACUUUGGCUAGGCAUUGUUGAUGCUGUUUCUUUUUACUAUUUUUAAUUUAAGAAUGGAAGAAAAAGAUAUAUUUUCCUUACAAUGAUUAGAAUUAAAUAAACUAAAGCCAACCUUCAUUUCAUUAAAAUAAACUAAAGCCAACUUAAAUUAAAUAAACCGAUGUCAAGAUGUUUUAGUUUCAGGUUAAAUUUUAGUUUCAGUUUCAAAUCCUUCAUUCAUAAUAAGUACUCUUCUCUUUCAAUUGAUAAGUUUAUUAUAAUGAUUGAAGAUGUCUUAGACUACCAAUCUUUAUGUGUAAAUUAAUUGCGGGAUCGCCUAACAACUAACCUAUUCCAAAUGAACAACCACAAACACGAACACGUGUACACGAUUUAACUCUUCGAUAGCCUUGUGAACUAGAAGGGUUUGACUCGAAUCAAUAGCCUCGACUGCGUGGACUGUUUAAAUUCGAUUGCUAUUUCCCUUGACGAAUCCAACCACUCACUCAAUUGGACAAGCCAAUGUGUUAUUCAAUAAAUCGAAUACAACAAUCGAUCGUAUCGAUUCUUCCAACUAGAAGCCGCACAACAUCAGAUUAAUGAGUUCUUUUUGAUUUUAUGUCAAUAUGACUUAUGAAACGACGGAAUUUAUCUCUUUAAUCGGAAAAAUAACAAAUACCAAUAUGAAAAAUUUAGAUACGAUUUUAGAUCUUGUGACUCUCUCCUGAAUUGACUAAUCGCCUAAAGCCAGAUCAAGCAAAUUGAUAAAAAUAAAGAACGAGAAAAGAAAAUAAUCCAGGGGAAAAACUUUAUUGAAAUUAAAAAUAAAAGGACAAAGGUUUAACAAAAUUCAUUUGAAUAGUUGACUAACCAUGUUGUUGGAUUACUUAAAGUUACACCUUUCUAUAUUCAAUUUCCACACACUUCAUGCAAGAAAAGAGCACUCAAGAUUGUUAGUUCAAAUAAAUUAUUACACGAUAUUUUUUUUCCCUUGUAAAAUAAUUAAUUUUCUAACUCUCGAAACAAUAUUUCAACAAAAUAAUUUAUUAUUAAGCUGAAAUUAACAAUCAAGCUCUCACUAUUUCAACAAAAUCAAAUAUAUGAUGCAAUGAAAUUUUCACUUCUACACAAAAGUAUAUUUUUAAAAUUUUGGAAAGUUUUUAAAACUUUCCAUAUUUUUUUUAUAAUUUUUUAUUUUUUAAGAUUUUUCUGAAUUUUUUGAAAUUCUUUUGUAUUUUCUCUUUUUUUUGUAUUUUUAUCUAUUUAUGAAGAAGUGAUGUAUUUUUUUUUAAAUUUUUGAGAAUUUUAUAUAGCUUUCCAUAUUUUUCUGAUUUUUUUUAAUUUUUAUUUUCACUUUUUUGGUAUUUUAUGUAUUUUUAAAAAAUAAAAAGUAAAUAGAUUUUAAUUUUCAGAAAUUUGAUAUAAAUUUCUAUAUUUUUUAUUUUAAAAAAUUUUGAUAAUUUUUUUUUUAUUUUUAGCAUGUCACGUCGUCCAAAUCCUAUUUUCUUAAAAUAAAUUUAAAAAAAAAGGCAAAGUGAUAUAUAAUUGGAAUGAUUAUCAUUUUAAAAACAACGUAAUUUAACCUAAUAAAUUUAACGAUAUUAUUUAGUUACAACUGAAAUUUUAAAAUUCAAAAAAUUAAUUAAAUUAUGUAUAAAAAAUAAAAAAUACAACUUACACAUAAUACAAAAGUUGAUAAUAAAAUUUAAUUAUUUAAAUUAUAGAAGAAUUUCAUCAAGUCUUACAUUUUAAAACUUAUGGGAGUUAUUUUAUUUAAAAAUAUCAUUAAUUAAUGGAAGACGAAGACAUCCGCUUUGUUAGAGUUAUUGGUUUUGCCUUUUUUUUGUUUAUUUAUUUUAUUUUUAUUUUUAGAAUAAAGUAAUUGCUGAAAGAAGACACGAUGAUGUGGUUUAUUAUUUUAUUUAAAAUCUUCAAUGGCUUUGCCAUCUAAAUAUUUUUCUUUUAUCACAGUAUUUAAAUUUAUUUUUGGUGAUAAGUGAUACAUAAAAUUUUUUCCCUAAAAUUAUCUCUAAUUUAAAAGUUAGACAUUAGAAAUUAAAUUCUGAAUAUCUUUAAUGCCAAUUAAAUGAUCAACCUUAUUAUAAUAAUUAGACUUGUCACUCAAACAUGAAUGUUUUUAUUCGUAUCAUUUUCAACCUUUGUUAGUCAAACAAUCAAUCGAACUAUUACAUCUAUUUUUUUAAAUGGUACCUAGACUCUGUCAUUUUUCUCAUUUUGGUAUCAUUUUUUGGUCACAAGUGCUACCUAAACUAUUUUUUCCCCAAAUCAAUACUUUUGUUGCUAGACAAACUGUUAAGUCUAUUUUUUUUUUAAAAAAUAUAACCAAUUAAAAAUUAUCAUUUUACAAAAAAAGAUAAAAGAUAUUUUUUAUUUAUAUAAUUUAAAAAAUAUUAAAUUUUCAUAAAAAUUUAAAAAUUAAAAAUAGAGAGAUUUGGUUCAACUAGGUUUUUACCUUCAUUCAACUGAUUCGUAUUAAUUCGCGGGUAAACCAGUUUAACUCUUAUCUCUGAAUUGAUUUAAGUUUGAAAACAAAAUUAAUUGUGUACUACUUGAUACUUAUGUGUAACUCUAAUUUUUCUUGGUAAUUCAGUGUGGACAAAUGUAGUGAAGUGUUUAUGAUAUAACUCUAGAAACGUAUAUAAGCCCCCAAUUGAAACAGAGAAUUGAGGUCUGCUUAAGAAAAUUGGGUUAUUGUUGGGGGGUGGUGUUAUGGUGUAUUAGAGUUUUAGGGGUUUUGAUUGUAAGAGCUGCUUGUGAAUGUGCUAUUUGGUGUUUCAGUAUGACCUCCGAUUUUGAAAUCAUUAAUCCUUUGGUUGGUUUUCCUUUUUGGGGGAUUAAUCAUCUUUUACAUCGGCUUUUAUUAAUAUAUAUAUACAUACUAGUUUAAAUAUCACAUGUGGCAUAUGUGAUUAUUAUGAGAUUUCAAUAUAAUAAAUUAAUUUAAUAGUUUGCAUACAAAUAUUAAAAAAAAAAGAAUUUAAGAAAAUUUUUGAAGUUGAAUUCAAUAUAUAUAUAAAUAUAAAAAUAAUUAAUUUAAUAAAAUUUUAAAAUUAGAUUCAAAAUAAAAAUACAUAAAAUAAUAAUAAAAUUUAUAUCAAAUUCCUGAAAAUUAAAAACUAUUUACUUUUAUUUUUUUAAAUACAUAAAAUACCAAACAAUUGAAAAUCAAAAAAAUAAAAAGCUAUGGAAAGCUAUAUAAAAUUCUCAAAAAUAAAAAAAAUACUUCUCUUCUACAAAUAUAGAUAAAAAUACCAAAAAAAAAAAAGAGGCAUGAUCCACACGGCCACAGUCUGUCACACGAUAGUGUAACCCCUUCGCAUGGCUGAAGGCAUUGCACACAGCCAUGUGCCCCUAUUUUAAAUUUUUACCUAAAAUUUUAUGAUUUGUUCAGAUUAGUCCCUGAACAAUUUUUGAACUAUUUUUUUAGUGUUUUAUUUUUAUUCAAUUAAGUCCCUAAUAAUAUGGAAAAUGUUAGAAUCCAUGACAUGAUUGACUAAAUUAAUGUUAUAUAUAAUUGUCUGGAUUGUGAAUGAUAUAUAUGUUUAUUAUAUAAACAGAGCCAUGUACAGAGCCAUGUUGUGCUCUAUCUAUAAGUAUAAACAGACAAUCAAAAUAAAUUUCACUUCUUCUUGAAUGAUUUGAUUACAUAGAGAGUGACAUUCUUUAGAUCUUAUGCAUGUUUUGAUUUAUAUAUAAGAAUGGAUGCGAUAUUAUAUAUUUGUUAUAAAUUGUUUUUUAUUGUCAAGGUUGUGGUUCUUAGGAAAUAGACCGUGGAAUAUCAUCUCCAUGUAGGGCUAUUUUUUUAAAAUUCAUAGAAUUCUUGUUAAUAAAAAACGGACAUAAGACUUAAAUCACUACAAGAAAUUAAGCUUUUAACAGCAUUUUUAGUGGCGUUUAGACCAAAAAUGCUGCAAAAGUUAUACAUUAGUGGCACUAAUUGAAAAACGCCACAAAAGGUUAGAGCUAUAGCGGCGUUUAUGAGAAAAACGCCACAAAAAGUCCAGCAUUAGCGGUGUUUUAAAAAUCAUUUUAUUUUAAACAAAACAGCUCCGUUUUGCUCCGUGUAUUCUCACCCAUCAUCCAAGUGGCCAUCAUGUAUUGUUUUCGACAACUCAUGCACUCUUUCAUCCUCUUCUAUUUAUUAUGUAACUAGUUUCUUUAUAUUAAUUAAAAUACAAUUUAUUUUUAAUUUAAUAUUAAAAAUCUUCAGAAAAAUCAAUGACACGUAAAAAACAUUUGAAAGUAAAAACAUAGAAAAUAUAUGUUAAAAAUGAAAAAAAUUAAAAUACUAUUAAUAAAAAUAAUUUUAUCUGCUAUAACAAACUGAUUUCUAACCAGAAGAUUUUGAUUGGGGAUUCUAGUUAACAGAGAGGCUUGACUCCUCCUUUUAUAGAUGAUGACCUAAUUGAGAUAGUUGGAUUUAGAAAUGUCCUGCAUGGUCUUGUUUUGCUUGCUCCAGAUGGACAUGGGACUCAUUUAGCACAGGUAGAACAAGAAGGUUCAUGACUGGUUUGCACUCUUUAACCUCAGGGAUUUUGAAAUUUUGGAGAUUAGACUGUAUUUGGGAAUUUGAAGAAAUAGCGAAAAUUGUAGCUCCUAACUAGAUUAGGUUCAUUGAUUAUGAAUGUUGUUGUAAUGCAGAUGAAUGGAAUGAAUGCAAAAAGAGGCGUUGAUUCUGAUUCAAUUCAAUUAGAACAACUUUACUAGAAUAAAUUGAAUAAAUUGAAUUAAAUUGAAUCAGACCCUUUGUUUUGAAGAAGUGAAAUGCAAUACCCAGUGAGUUAGGAUACAACAUUUCUAAUUCUCGAAAUUAAACUUGUCUUCUGACUUUAAAAACUCAUGAUUUUAGGUUUGAGAAGGAUACUCGGUUAUUUAGGUUAAAUAAAAAAUUGGAACCCAGUGAGUUAGGGUUCAAUUUCUCAAAAUUCCCAAAUACAAAAUAUUACCUGCUUUUUUGAAAUCCUUACCUCAAGGUAACAAAAUGUCACAUCCCGUGAGUUAGGAUACAACCCUUUUGGAAUUCCCGAGAUAAAUUUUGGUUUUUGAAAUUGGUACGAUUUUAUUGAAAAAGGAUACUCGGCUAUUUAAAUUCAAUAAAAAAAUUGAAGCCCAGUAAGUUAGGGCACAAUCUUCUCGAGAGUCUUGGACCCCGAGUAUCUUGAAAAUUUCGAAAUAAAACUACCUUAAUGUUUUAAUGAAGCGUAAUCUUCAAAACAAAUGUAGUGCGAUUGAAUGGUAACGCAUAAUACGAAAGGAUAAUUUGUAAAUAAAACAUACACCAAGGAAUGAUGAAUAAAUAAUAAAAAAAUUCAAGAAGCUUAGCAAUGAUUAUCUCAUGCGAACACCAACAUUAGCUAAUAGGAGGAAACUAAUUUAAAAUUGAGCAAAUUUACAUAAACACCAAUAAAGUGUACAAGUUUAAACACCAUUUAAGAAACAAAUGACAUGAAAGAAGGUAAAUUGAACUUAAUAAAUUUUAUGUACAAAAAAUUUAUGGUAUAAGUAAAUAUGGUAUAAGUAGAAAAUUAAAAUUUAUAAUAUAUAAAACAAUUAAUACACAUAUUAAUUUAAAUAAAUAAUACAUAUUAAAUGAAGAGUUUGAUAAUAAUAAAAACAAUAAUAUAUGUACAUAAUAAUAAUACAAUAUGGUUGAAAUAUACAAAAUAAGUAAAGGAAGUUUAAAAUAAAUAAAUUAUAAAUGUAACUUAACUUUAAACCUAUAAACUUAUUUAAAAGAAAGCCAAAAGAUGAUAAUUAUAAUAAGGGUAAACUAUUAAAAUAGUCACUUUUGUUUGGUUCAGGUUACAUUUUAGUCACUUAUGUUUGAAAUGUUACGUUUUAGUCACUUAUGUUAUCAUGUUGUAACAUUUUAGUCACUGAGCCGUUAAUUUCUGUUAAUUGUGUAACAAUAAGCUGAUGUGGCACAUUACAUCAUCAUUUCAAACAAAAAUUCUAGGUUAAUUUAUACAAUCGGUCCCCAUAUUUUUUCGUUUGGAGAAAUUUAAUUUUUUUCUUUUUUUUUUAACUUUCUUUCUUUUCCAUUCUCUUAUGCUUCUCCCUUUGUUUUCCUCCUUUCUCCAUUUCUUUCGACGUAGUUUUGCUAUGUUUUAUUUUUUUGAAAAAUUUAAUUUUUUCGAGUGAGGCGAGCUUGUGGACUAGUUACAAAUGGAAAACAUAGAAAAACUAUGUUAAAAGAAAUGAAGAAGGGAGGAAAAUAGAGGUAGAAGCAAAAGAGAAUGGAAAAAAAUUUUAAAAGAACUUAAAAGAAAAUUUUAAAAUUGUUUAAAAUGAAAAAAUAUAGGGACCAAUUGUAGAAUUUAACCUAAAAUUUUUGUUUGAAAUGAUGAUUUAACAUGCCACAUCAGCUUACCGUUACACCAUUGUUGGCAAUUAACGACUCAGUGACUAAAAUGUUACAACACGAUAACGUAAGUGACUAAAAAGUAAUAUUCCAAACAUAAGUGACUAAAAUGUAACCUAGGGCAAACAAAAGUAACUAUUUUGGUAGUUUUCCCUUAUAAUAAUAGGAAAACAAUAAUAUGUUCAUGAAAUAAAAAAAAAUCAAAAUUGCAUGUAUAUGAUAGUAUGGUAUGAAAGUAUUAUUAUAACUUUUGGAAUAUAGGAAUAUAAAAGAGAAUUUAAAAAAAUAAAUAAAAGAUUAAAAAAACUAUAUCAAAAGAAUAUACGAAUCAUAAAAUAUGUUAAAUCUAAGUAAUAAUAAACGAAAACUUAAAAUUGUAAUAUAUGAUAAAUAAAAAACAACUACAAAGAUAAAUAUAAACAAUGUUAAUGAUUUUGGUGAUAAAUUCAAAUAAUAUCACUAAUCUUAAAGCAUAUGGAAAUAUUAGAUUUAAAACUAAAUAUAUAGAAAACAAUAUGCAUUUAAUCCAAUAAAAAAAAUAAGAUUAAAUUGGAUUUGAAACCAAAUUAAAGAGAAAAUUCGCAAAUAAAAUAAAAUCGAGGGGACAAAAUGCAGUGUGCUAAUAAUAUGGGGGACCAAUGGGGAAAUAACCCCUGUCCCUCCAAAACGCGACGUACAGCCUGGGCCAAAAUGAAACAAAAGCAAAAUGCAGUAUGGAAUUUACAAAUAAAGAAAAACUGAUUCGAAAUCACUAUGAAAGAGGGAGGACCAAAUUCGAAAAUAACCCUAGCAGGGCCACAACACGCGGAUCUCAGCCGCCUCUGGGUCGGGUCAGUCGGGUAUGGCCUUAUACGAUGCCGUUUUGGGGCCACUGAAGCAGGUCUCAAACGAUGUCGUUUUUAUUACUUUAUAAAAUCCCAAACCAAAACCUAAUCAGAAUUAUUUUUUCACUUCUAAGGAAAAUAAAACCAAACCCUAGGCUAUCCUCUCUCCGCCGUUCCCAGCCGAAACAACAGCCCCUUCAACUCUGAUAUUAACAGAGCAGACAAAGGCCGACGGCGGACUAGUAGAGGUAAAUCUUCUCUCCUCCUUCCUUUCGUUUUAUAUUUUAAUAAAAAGAUGAUAAAACCAAGAGCAAAAAAAAAAAAGAUAGAAUUUGAAAAAUCAUCUUGAAAUAACAAAGCUAGUUGAUUUGUUUUUUAUAUUUUCGUAUCCAGUAUCCGUUUUACAAAUUUGCUAUUUUCUCUUAUUAUUUUUCUAUUAUUCUGUUAUUUCUUUGCAAGGAUGCAGCCAAUCUGGAGGCAGAGGCUCACGUGGGGAAGGAGCGGCGCGCUGGAGGCUUGUAGGCUAGGGUUUCUGCAGGCUUAGUUUGUUUACAGGGCUAGGUUUAACUAGGUUUACUUUAUUGGGCUCGGGGUUAAUUUGAGUUUUAGGUUUAGUGUUUUGGGUUAGAGUCUAUAUUAGGUAGUGAGUUUGGGCUUUAAAUUUGGGUUUGUAAAAAUAAAUUGGGUUGUUUUAUUAUUUUAUAUUGGACCGGGCAAUAUUAGGUCAUUACAUAAAUAUUGAUAAAAUUAUAUCGUAUCGAUAUUAUCGAUAAAAUUAUUGAAGAUAUUACCUUUGUACUGUUUUGAUUUUUGUGCCCGAGAUGCAAUCUUUCUCCUUGUUUAGAGCCCAUGUUUGUAAGGCGUGCCAAAAGUUGAACUUUGAAUUAAAAACAUAAUAUUUAAAUUCUAAAUUUCAAUUUAUUAAUUUUUAUAUUUAGUUUUAAAGUUAAAAUUUUAAUAGAAAAUUUAAUUUAAUUAAUAUUUUUUAUUUAGUAUAUAGUUUAAAGUUUAAAUUUUAAAAAUAAAACAAAAUAAAAUAUUUUAUCAUAGAAAUAAAUAUUAUUUAAUUAAAUUUUUUUUAAAGGUCAUGUUUUUUAGUUACGUUUGUCGGAAAAGCAUCGCUACAUGUCAUGUUUUAUAGCGACGUUUGUGGGAAAACGCCGGUAAAGGUCAUGUUCUAUCAUACACAAAUUAUAUCAGACAAUUAACUAAAAACAUCUGAGCAACAUUGCUCCACCUACUGAUGUAACAUGGCUCUGAAAGCUACCCUAAAAUCAUCCAUUCUUUCAUGUAAUGUGUGGUAGUUGACUCUCAUCGCCACCAUCGGCUCCAAUCUAUAUUCUCGUUGAAAAUUGCAUUUUGAACAGUGGUAGAUUCUUCAACCGCAUCUUGCUCAACCAUCUGAGGUGCCUUAGAAAACAAUUGAAGAAAAAUUUAUAACUGAAACUUUAAUCUCAUGUCAUCAAGGAAAAAAAAUAAGAAACACAUAUAUACUCAAGGAAUUUAAUUAAAAAUUUUGCAUGUUAUGCCUUCAGUUGUAAUUGUUAUAAUUACAUAGAAUAAAGUACGAUUAAAGGGUUGUAGGAUAUAUACCUUUGUUUUGCAAUGUACAAAUUCUUGUGAAUCAAUGAAGAAACCAAUAGUCAACCUAGGGCAAUCUUUUACUUUCAACUUUAUCAUUGCUGGGAAUACAGAAUGAUAUCCUUUGGGAGAAAAGUGAAUGAGGCCAGGUAGUUCUACAAGUGAUAACCAUUUUAAUUUAUCAAAUUUCAUCUCCUCUUUAGCUACCACUUCCACUUUUUCUUCUAAUUCGAAUACUUGCUCCAAUUUAUAAUUCCUUUUAACUAUGAGACUUUCAAGCUUUGGAAGAACAGGAGCAAAUCUAAAAGGAAAGAGACUGUUCAAAUUUUUACAAUUUGUGACAACGAUCUGAGUCAAAUUUGGAAAGCUCAUAGGUUGGAGGCUAGUAUCACCAUUUGAUGAUGAUGAAGAAACUUGAUCCUUGGCUAAAAUGAGUCGUUCUAUUUCCUCACACCUCUCGAUGAAAAGAUCCUCCAAAUGUGAUAAACUGCUAGCCAUCAUAGGUGAAAAUAUAUAUCUUAGCUUCUUGCAAUUACUCAGUGUUAGAGUUGUAAGGUUCUCAAGGGUUACAACUUGUGCAAAAUCGUUCCAUAAAACCCGCACUUCAAAUAAAUUCCUCAAUCUCAAUAUAUUUAUGCUUGAGAACGAGUACCCGCCUUGAACUUGAAAUAAUUCUUCAUGAUUCCCAACUACUAUACAACCUUCAUUAAAUACAGGAACAUCAGUGUUGCAUAAUUGGCCGCUAUUUCCCACGUUACUAAGAACCAAUUCCUGCAUACACAGAAAUCCUAAUAAAUGUCAUAAAAACACACUAGAGUAAAUGUUACCCAUAAGUCUUCAUAAUUUUACAUAUUCCAAGUAAUAGAAAAUACUACUUCUCUAAUCUCAAUGCUACAUAUAUCUUUGAUUUUUUUAAAGGAUAUAUUUUUUAAAUCUAAACCUCUAAAAUAUCUACCAAAUUAAUUAAACACUAAAGCCAUUGCUUGAUACAUUUUUAUUUAAAGAGUGAACAGUGGAAUUCAUUUACAAACUAUGUAUAAAAGAGGAAUGAGUUAUCACAUGAACUAAGCAACAUAUCGAUUUAAUGAUUUGCUAUAGUGCCAAAAUCCAUAUAUAAAAUGAGAACAAUCUAAAUACCUUUAUGAGCUGAGCUUGUACAAUGAAGCAUGAGAAUUGGGGACAAUUUAUCACUACUAAAUCUUGCAGAAAGGGCACAUUAAGUAGAAUGUGAUCACCAAUCACAUCCCUUCCUUCUGUCGAACUGAAGACUUGUAGUAGUUGAGGGCAGUUCUUUAGGCAAAGAGAUUCCAACAAUGGAAAUCCCUGAGAUAAAGUGUUUGCAAACACAUAUUUCAAUAGUUGGCAAUCCUCUAUCCGGAGAGUUUUCAGUUUUUUCCAGCAAUGAUUCUACAUGAAUGAACCACAUAUUUAGAUAUUAUACAAAAUAUAUUUGUUUAAACAAAAGCGAGGAAUAUGAUUUACCAAAACAUAUGAAAAAGAAAGCAAUUGAUCUUUGAUUUAUUAUAUUUGUUUAAAUAAAAGUGAGGAAUAUGAUUUAUUAAGCAUAAUUUAAGUUUUAAAGAAUUUCUCUACCAAAACAUAUGAAAAAGAAAUCAAUUGAUCUUUGAAUGUACCAAUUAUAAAGAGAUGUAUUUAUUAUAAAAAGAAAUCUAUUAUGUAAACAGAUUCCAAGGAUUGAAGCCCUUGAGUCCAAGUGUUUGCACAAACAUAUUUCAAAUUUGGGCAAGAUUCUAUGCUAAGAAUCCUCAAUUUCGGCCAACAACAAAGAGGAGAGUCAUUCUACAUGUUUCAAAUACAAAAACAUGUAUAUAUGCUGCUUAGUUUCUUUUAGCAUACCAACGGUUAGAUGCACAGGGUGUCUACCCAAAAAAGCAACAGGCUAACUCAAAAAAACUAGGGGGUUUACAGUUGUUUAUAAAACACACAAUCGAAAUAAAUAAAAUUGAAUUUAUUUUUUAUAAUUAGGAAUGGAGAAUGAAAUUGUUUGAAAUUGAAUUCAAGUAUUCACGUCUACAAUAUAAUAUUUUUGUUAUUAGACUAAAACAUCAUUAGCAACUUAAAUGCAAAUAUUUAUUUUAAAUUAUAAAAAUAUUAAAGCAUUAUUAUAAAUUAAAUAAAAGAUAGAAUUUCCUUCUAUAUAAAUAAUUACAUUCUUCUAUCAUGUAAAUUGUGUUGAAGUCAAACAAACCUUAUAAGUGGGCAAUCCAUGGGCAAAAGUCAAGGUGGCAUGGAAUUAAUUGAAGGCUUAUCCAUAAAUAAAUAAAAUAAACAUAAAAUGAGAGAGGUGGCAAUUGAUGAGGUGGUUUUUGAGCCUAUAAUAAGGUUUCAUAUAUUUGUGAUAUGAAGAAAAAGAAAGAGUAAGAAAUGAAAGAAAUGUGUGUGAGUUUGUGUGCACAAGAGUGGAAAUAUGCAAAGAGUGAAUUGUGAGUGUAUAACUAGUGGUAACUAGAAAUUGAGAGAGGGGAAAAUAUAUUUGUAUUUUGUGUAAGUGUAUUUGUUUUGAGUAAUAAAAGUUAAUUUCCUUAGCCACUACUAUACUUCCAAUAAGUGGUAUCCAACUUAUAUUGGUGUCCUCAUCACAAGGAGAGUACUAUACUUCCAAUAAGUGGUAUCCAACUUACAUUGGUGUCCUCAUCACAAGGAGAGGACAAACAUGAUUCAACCAUAGAUAGAAUCACAAACCAAAAUCAAAGUCCAUGAUUCAAUGGAUUGUCUAGAUAUCAAUUCAAUCUCCAAAAGAUAAUCUCCUAAGUGAUAUGAUCUUCUAUAAUGGUCUAGAUAUCAAGCAUAGACUCAAUCAUACUCCAUAAAAGUCAUUCAAUAAGUUGCAAAUAUAAUAAAUAUGGAAAAGGUCUCCAUAUCGAUUUAGUGCUCUAGGGAAUGAAUACUUCCUUUGACACUAAAAUGUGAGUUUUUUCAACAAUAUCAAACUGACCUUGUAAGUUAGCAAUCUAAAGGUAGAAUAAGUGGCAUGGAAUUAAUUAAAGGCUUUUCUAUAAAUAGAUAAAAUCUAAAUAAAAAUGAGAGACAACAAUUCAUAAUGAAUUUUAUAAGCCUAUAAAUAGGUUUCGUAUAUAUGUGAUACGUAAAAGCAAGCGUGUGAAAGAGAAGAAAAAGAAAGAGUAUGAAACAAAACAAAGGUGUGCGACUUUGUGUGCAUGAGAGUGGAAAUAAGCAAAGUUUUAAAGAAUUUCUUUAUCAAAACAUAUGAAUAAGAAAUAAAUUGAUCUUCCAACGUAUCAAUUAUAAAGAAAUGUAUUUAUCAUAUUUCGCAACUGUGAUACUCCAACCACUUUAAAAUAAUUAAUUAUGACUAUUAAAAAAUAAAAAUACAAUAUUCAUGGUAGCCGAUGUGAGAGAGAGAAUUCUAAUUGCCCAUUCAAUUUUAAAAUAAAUGAAUUAUAAAUAACUUUUAAAAUAAGGUUGAAAUAUUAAUUAUUUUAUGAACAUAAAAAUGAAUUUGAGUCCAAAUACCUGUAAUCCAAAUCCAUCCUUAUUUUUUUCCAUGUUGAAGAUUUGUAUAAGUCGAGGACAAUCUUCUAUCUCAAUAGAUUCCAGGUAGGGAAGUGCUUGACUUGAACACAAAUAUUUCAAGUUUUCACAUUUUGCAAUCCUGACACCUUUCAAAUUUGGCAAGAAUAGAGGAGACUGAUCUUUUGUGUUUGAAAUAUCUAUUUCAUCCAUGUUUUCUGCUUCUCCGAUUAAAUGUUCUAAAGAGUAGCAAUUCCAAAUCUCGAGAAAUUGCAAAUGCACCAAAGUUCGAGCAGUGAUUUCCGAAAAGAGAUAUGUGAGUUUAUCACAUUUAGUUAUCUCUACUCUAUGGAGGUAAUGGUUCGGUCCAUUCCACAUGUACUUCAAUUCUGGCAAUGAUCUUAACUCCAAAACAGUUAAAUUUGUCAGAGAUUCCUGUCAUCCAAUAAUAUUUGUUAGUUUAAUCUAACCACUAAAAUAAAUUGAUUGUACAAUGAUAUAAAUAUAUAUUUAUACACACACUAAUUUUAAUAUCUCGCAUAUAUUAUCAAAGCAAAACAAAAAUCAUAAUAAGGUAAAUUAAUUCAAUAAAUUUCUAAAAUAUAAUUAUUAUAUUACAUUAAAAAAAAUAUAAAAAAAACAUAUUAAAGCGUAACAUCAGAGAAAAUAAAUAUAUAAUAUUUCUCUAUUUUAAUUUUUAGUAUACAAAUAAUAAAGAGCGUGGCUCUUGAACAAAAGCUAGAGGCUGCAUCGGUUUGUUUGAAUACUUAGAAUUUCAAAAAUCGAUAAAUUACAAUUAUAAAAAGUAAUAAUAUGUAAACAUAUAUAUAUGUAAUAUUCAUUAAAAAUACUCUAUGAAUUUUAAAAUAUUUAUCAUUAAAAGUACCUGUGAUCCAAGUUCAGGAAGCACAAUGCUUUGUUCCAUGUUGUAGAUUUGUAUAAGUUGAUGACAAUUGUAUAUGUAAACAGAUUCCAAGGAUUGAAUCAAAGUGUUUGAAGAAAUAUAUUUCAAACUUUCACAAUCUUUUAUGCGAAGAACUUCCAAUUUCGGCCAGCAAUAAAGAAGACAAUCAUUCUGCAUGUUUCAAACACAUUUCCGUAAGUUAUUUAUUUAAAUUUCAUAUACAAUCACAAAUCAAAUCAAAGUCCAUGAUCCAAGAGAUUAUUUUGGGCAAUUUUGAAUCAAUCCAAUCUUCAAAAGAUAAUAUUUCAAGUGACUCGAUCUUCUAUAAUGGGCUAAAAAUCAACCAUAGACUCAGUCAUAGCCUAUAAAAGUCAUUCAAUGAGUUGUCAAUAUAAUAAAUAUGGAGAUUAUCUCUAUAUUGAUUUGGUGCUCUAGGGAGUAGGCACUCGCUCUAACACCAAAAUGCUAGUUUCAUAUUUUUCAAUAAUAUCAAACUGGCCUUGUAAGUUAGCAAUCCAAGGAUAGAAGAAAGGUGGCAUGGAAUUAAUUGAAGGCUUUUCUAUAAAGAAAUAAAACCUAAAUAAAAAGGAGAGACACAACAAUUCAUGACAGUUUAUAAGCCUACAAAUAGGUUUAAUAUAUUUGUGAUAUGUAUAAGCGAGCGUGUGGACGAGAAGAAAAAGGACGAGAAGAAAAAGGAAGAGUGUGAAACAAAACAGAGGUGUGUGUGACUUUGUGUGCACGAAAGUGGAAAUAAACAAGGAGUGAAUGGUACUGUGUAUAACUAGUUGUAGGUAGUAAUUGAAAGGAAGAGUAAAAUAUAUUUGUAUUUUGCAUUGGUGUAUUUGUUUUGAGUAAUAAAAGUUACUUUCUUUAGUGGCCACUACGCUUCCAACAAACCCGAUACACUCACUUCAAGUUGGUUUUUGGUUUUCUUGCAAUUUGUUUCAUCCUUAAGAGAAUGCUAUCAUAAAGCUAAAACAAUUAAGAAGAUUAAAAAAAUUGGAGAGAAUAGGUAUCCCUACCUCAAUAAUCUCGUCUUCUUGGCCAAAACCAAUGACUUGCUCUAGUCGAUCGCAGUACCUUAUAUAAAGUUCUUCUAGAUGCAACAUACUUAAAGCUAGGCAAGGUGAGAAGAUUGUUUUCAGAUUAUCACAAUAUUCAAUGCUCACAACCUUUAGACUUUGGAGGCUUGCAAUUGCACGAUGGGAUGGCUUUACUUCCCAUAUCCUCUUCAAUUUCGGCAAUGAAUGUAGCCUCAAUUCUGUUAAAUUUGAGAGCAAUGGUUUUAUAUUUAAUUCCACCAAAUUAGAGAAUGCAACAGUACUUGACCCUUGAUCAUUUUUUGUAUCAAUCAAGAAUUCCAUAUCAUCGCAAGAUUCUAGCUGCAGAGAAGUCAACUCAUUUAAUCCCAUUUCAUCUAUGCUUGGCACAAUAUUCUUUUGUCCACCAACAUUCCUCAAAUUCAACUCUUCCACAUUGCAAAAUAAAUUGUUAAAUGCACUUAAUGAAGAUGAGAAAUCUUGAAUAUCCAAUCUUCUAAUAAACGCCUCCCGAUUGCUACUAUACUUUUCUCCAACUACUAUAGCGUACCUUUGUAGUUUAGGGAGCACAAAAUCUUCUCGAGGAAUUUGAUAAGUAGAAAGUGUCAGUGAUAGUGCAGUUAAACGAGACAAUGACUUCAACUCCAAUAAGUUGAGAUUAUUUUUGGGUAUGACAUGUAACUCUUGUAGUGAAGUCAACCUAUUAUAUUCAUAAAGAAAGUAGCAUUAAUUGAAAAUUUAUGUGACACAAUCCACAUUCCAUGAGGUAAAAAAAUUGUAAUUCGUUAAAGUAAUUCAUAAAAAAGAAAUAUGUAAAAAAAAAGGUUCAAAAACUUGAAAUAAAUCAAGAUAAGUUAUAAAAGGACGCUAUUAAAAUUAAAUAAAAAAAAUCUCUAAAUUUUUUUUAUCACUUUCAAAGAAAUUUUCAAGAGGUUAACUUUUUUUUUUCCUUUUUAACAAUUUAUCUCAAAAUUUCUGGGUCUAAAACAUAAGUAAAUUUUCUGUUUUUUUAUAAUAUUUUUUCACUCUCAAAUUUUAUAAGAAAGUCAUUUUACCCUUCUAUUUAAAUUUUUACCUUUUAUAACCCUUAAAUUUGUGGUUUUUUGUCAAAUCAUAAAUAAAAAAAUUAAUGUUUUAAAAUUUUGCUGAUGUUGAUAUACGUGAAUUGACACAUGAAUAAUACAUUAUCCAUAAUACAUAUAUUAAAACAUAUCUAAUAGUAAAAAAAAUCAAGUAUUUAUCUUGAUGUUUUAUUAAAAUUUAAAGUCUUUAUUGUAUUAAACUUCCUUAAUUAAUUUUUAUUGAAUAUUUUAUAUAUAUUUUUAUUUACUUUAAUAUAUAUAUAUAACACUUAAUUAUAGUUAAUAAAAUUUUUUAUUUUCUUUGGCAACCCACAUAUCUAUCCACAUAUUCUUUAGACAUUACAUUAUUUGUCUUAUAUGCCAAGUCAACAAAUAAUUUUAAAUUUAUAAAAAUAUUCAAAAAAAUAAAAAAUUAAAAUUCAAAAAAUAUAAAAAAAAUCAUAAAAUUAAUAAAAUAUAGCAUGAAGUAAGUAUGGAUUGGAAUGCGCGUGUUUAUGUUUAAAAACUUAAAAUUUUAGUUAGUAUUUCCGUUAAAAAAUAGUUCAAUAUUUUUUAAAAGGUUGAUACUCUUUUUUAAAUGUCCAUAACCAAAUUUAAUUAAAAACCGAAUAAGGACUAAAUUGAUAAAUGAUGUCAAAACUAGUAUUCUAAAAUUAAAAAUACCAAUUAAAGUAAUUAAGAGGAAAAUAAAUGAUGUCAAACAAAAUACGAAUAUGAUAGAAAAAAUUAAAUCUAACGCACUCUUACCUUGAUACCAAGCCAGGGGGGAAAUUGAUUCCUUCGUCCGUUCGAGAAUAAUAAAAAUAUUCAGAUAUGAUGUGCCUAAAAAUGAUAAAAUUUUGAUUUAAUUAUUUAAAAAUUAUAAAGAUAUAGGCUAUUCAAAUGGUGAAAUUAUAUUUUUAUUAUCGUAAAAAUUAAAAUUUAAUUUCGGCUCCCUCUAACAAAUUUUUUUGUCUUUUCCCCUGCGCACGUGUCAAUCCAUCUGUACUUCAUGUAGAUAUUACACUAUUUGUCUUAUAUGUCAAGUCAAAUAAUUUAAAAAUUAUAAAAGUAUUCAAAAAAUAUAAAAAAAUGAAAUUCAAAAAAUAUAAAAAAAUUUAUAAAACUGAAAAUAUUAUAUAUAGCAUGAAGUAAAAUAUGUAUUGUCAUGUUGACUUUCAUAUUUAAAAACUUAACAUUUUAGUUAGUAUUUCCGUUUAAAAAACAAUUCAACAUUUUUUUAAAAUGUUGAUGCUCAAAUUCGAUUUUUUUAAAGGUUCAGAACCAAAUUUAACUAAAAAACCAAAUAAGGACUAAAUUGAUAAAUAAUACAAAUGUUAAAAGCUAAAAUUUAAAAUGUUUUAAUACUUAUUGCCUUGACUGUUUGAAAUAUAUACUGUGAUAUCUUCACGUGCAAGGAACAUGAAUUCUAAAAUAAUAAAAAAAUAUCUAUUAAAAUAAUUAAUAGGAAAAUAAAUUAUGUCAAACAAAAUACGAAUAUGAUAAAAAGAAAAUUAAAUCUAAUGCACUCUUACCUUGAUACCAAGUUUGGUUGGGGAGGCAGGGGAACGUUUUGAACUACACCAGAAAGACGUAAAUAUUUCAGUGUAGACAAUUUUAGUAAUUCUUCAUUUAUCCCAUCAAUCUUAGUGCCAAUCAAUGCAAGAAUCUCAAGGCUUCUCAUAUUUGUCAGUGAUGGUAAGUUUUUCAGCAUGCAACUAAAACACCACAAAGUUUUAAGAUUUGGUAAGGAAGGGAAUCCUUUCAGUGAGAAGCUGACACGUUUGAGAAGUAAGACUUGGAGGGCUUUCAUUUCUUCAAAAACUGUACCGAAAACCACUAGGAAAUCAUCUCGGUUCCACUUCCCCUCACCCUCUAAAAACAAAGUUUUGAGCUUUGAAAAUUCCACUUUAUCAGGAAAAAUUUUUAUGAUACUACUACAAUUCCAUAAAGCGAUUGCAGUAUAACUUUCAUCCAUAUGAGGCCAUUCUUUCAACGUAUCUUUUACCAUGAACCUAUUUUCUCCCGUUGAUGUUAGCCAAUGAGCAAAAUCUCGAAUCACAUCAUGCAUUCUUAUCGUUCCUGCAUAACCACUUUCCAAUAACAAGCCAGAUUUUUGGAGUUUUUUUAGUGCUUCAACAAAUUUCUUCCUUUUUUCUUCAAUCGAGUAAACAUUAGGGAACAAUCCUACUCCAAUUCCGCACGUAAUCAAUACCUCAAUAUCGAUUUCUUCAUCCUCAGGAAAAAGGGAACACAGUAAGAAACACAUUUGGAUGUGAUUCCCCGCCAUUUGGUUAAUGCCUUUCUUCAAGUAAUCGUAGCUAAGCUUAAGAGGCUCGAGGACACCCCCGAGGACUUCUUCAUCAUACAAAUGCGUUGAGUCCUUAAAUCUCUGAUUUGCGUCUCUCCACCCAUUUAAACUCUCACCUUUUAAACCUUUGGCCACGACAACAAUUGCAAGAGGCAAUCCCUUACAUUGAACAGCAACCUCUUUGGCUACAUCAUUCAAGGUGGAACAAUCAUCUUCUAAACCAGCUUUAUCUCGAAAUAAAACCCAUGCUUCGUCUUUGGAUAAGAUGCCAAGUUGAAUUUCCUUACAGUUCAUUUUAGUGCAGACUUGUUGACGACGUGUAGUCAGAAGAAUUUUACAACCCUCGUGUUCAUCACCGAAUGGAAUUCCGAUGCUCUCCAUUUUGAAUUCUUCCCAGAGGUCAUCGACAAUUACGAGGAUUUUGUUCACGCGUUGCAUACUCCUGAAUAGCUCUUCUGCUCUUCCUUCUUCGGUAUUUGUAUGAAAAUUUAAACCAAACAUCUCUGCAACUUUAUCUUGAAUUGUUCUGAUGUUUGGAUUUUGGGACAUAGUAAACAUCACAACUUUAUCAAACAACUUUUGUUCUCGAGCAUGCUUCCCAACUUCUUUAGCUAAAGUUGUUUUACCAACUCCUGGCAUUCCGUGCAGUCCGAUCAUGUUGACACCCUUAGCAUUUAUAGCCUCCAUGAUCUGGUUGAAAGCUGAUUUUGAAGAUUCAGAGUCCAUGAAAUCAGUGGAUGUGAUGAACUCUAUUCCUUGAAGAGGACGACGAUAGCCCACCCGUGCAAAGUCAGAAGUCUCUAAAAGUUUAGAGAUAAUAGGAAUCUUCUCUGCCAGUUUCUUACUUAAGGAAUAUCGCCAGCCCCAUUUAGGACACCAUUUGAAACACUUGACGCGAUCUAUUUCAUCUUUCAAGUUCUGGGUUUCUUCCAGUUCUUGCUCAGCAUUUCUAAGCCAGUCCUUAACGUCAUCAUAAAUGAUCUCAGUUUGCCUUUUAGCCUCAUCGACAUGAGUGUCCACCCUCUGUUUCCUCAAUUUAAGUGCCAUCCGUUGAUUCUUGAAAUCUUCAACAAUCUCUCCAUAACGGAAAAAGUAACGGAGAUAGGGUGAUGCGUAUUCCUUUGCCUGGUCUGCCACAAUUUCGACAGCAGCAGGGGCAACAUAUUCGGCCAUUUUUUUUGAUAGUCUGAUGAGGUUGAACAAAAACAUUGUUUAUUAGUAAGAAUUAACAUAAAGAGAAAUAAAAGCAAUUGUGACCAAUAAAAUCAGUAUUUGUAGUAAAAAAAUCGAGUGGAAGCUACCAAAUAAGAAGCUGUAAAUAUUGAUGUAAACCAAAGAUGUUAUUAUUGAAGAAGGUAGAAAUUACCUCUCUUUCUGUCUGUGAAUACCAGAAAGUAGAUAGAGCUUGAGAGAAAUAAGUAGCUGUAAUAAUAAUAAUAAUAAUAAUAAUAAUAAUAAUAAUAAUAAUAAGAUUGAGAGCAUGUUUUAACCUUCAUAUCACAAAUAAAUAAUUAAUGUAAUGCAAAUAAUUUGUAUGUGAAAUACCAUCAUAUUCUUUCAAAAACAAUUUCUCAUAAAGAAAUCCUAAAAAGGAUUACAUUCUCUUAAACAUAUUUUAUAUUUAUUUCUACAUUUUCGAUUAUAGAUUGGAUGCUUUUAAGUUCCUAUAGAAUUAGAGUUUGUGUGCUCUCUAAAAUGUUUAACGAAAAAAAUGAGAAGACUAAUGAAUGGAGAAAGGCGACUCUUCAUUUGCCCCUUUCGUCCGCAUGUUAUACACUUUAACUCUGAGUAAAAUCUGAUUCGAUUCAAAAAACUUGAUAAAAAUUUUAAAUUUUGAUUUAACUAGUUCAAGUUAUUUGAGUUAAUCAAGUUAUUCGGAUAAACUCGAAUUGAAUUGAAUAUGAAUUACACAAUUCGAGUUAUCCGAAAAUCUGAAUUAGAAAAUGUAAAACUAUGUCGUUUUGAUAAAUGUGUACCUUUCUAAAGUUAAAAAUCAAAACCAUUAAGUUAAAAGGCAAAAAUUACGUCAUUUUGAUAAGUAUUUACUCAUUAAGUUAAGAGACAAAACCAUUAUAUUGUUUUGUUAAUUAAUAUUGUACUUCGUUUGCUAGUUAAACAAUCGGUCCAUGUAAAUGCAACAUUGAAUAUAAAUAAUAGGAUUGUUUAACUCGACUCAAUUUGACUCGAAAUUUUUUACUCGAUUUGAUUUGAUUAAAAAAACUUCAUAUUGAGUUUGAUUGCUAAAAUAUGAUUUAUCAACUCGACUAACUCGAAAUUUUUCGAUUCGACUUGACUUAAUCAAAUACUCACCCUAGUUCCAAGGUUCUUGUUAAAUCUUUAAAAUGAAUAUAUAAACUCUUUAAUUAAGACGGAACUUGUAUGAAACCUUUUUUUAUGAAAAAUAAAAUCACAAGUGAUUUAAAAUGACUCCAACCAAACUAUUAGAAAUGAGGAGCAGUUCCUCAAAACUUACCUUCACUGAACUAUCCUCGGCGCGCUGUUUCUUUUGCCAAGUGGAAAUCAAGGUAUGAAGAAAGUUUGGUUUUCAGAAAUAAAAGAAAGUUUGCAGGUUUUUUUUCCCUUAAUUGAGACAAUAAAAGAAAAUGUGAAAACUGAAAAACAAAUAGUGGAAAUUAUCACACACACACACAGAUUUUUUUUUUUUUGGUGAUGAUCACAGACACAGAUUUCAGAAUAUGGAAGCAAAAAAGGAAAUGACCACAAACACAGAUUUGAGAAUAUGGAAGCAAAAAAGGAAAUGAUCAGAAACACAGAUUUGAGAAUUUGAAAGCAAAAAACAAAGAGUGGAAAUGAUGAGAAACACAGAUUUGAGAACUUGGAAGCAAAAAACGCUUUGGAUGAGGAAGAAGAAUGGGAAGUCGCUUUUCUUCAUCCUACUUUUUUUAUUUAAAUUCAUAAAACAAAUUAUUGUUCAUCAUUCUUUUCUUUAUUAUAAUAAAAUAAUCAUUAUUUUAUUACCAUUAAAGUCAAUGUCUUUGUUAAUGUAAAAUUCCAUUUUUUAUAUUUUUUAUAUUUUAGUAAAAAUAUUAUUUAUUUUUAUUAAUUUUAAUUACCGUUAACAUUGAAGUUUUUAUUGAACUAAAAUAUGUAAAGCUGCUUCUUGUUAUUGAAUAUUAUAAUAUUUUAUAUAUACUUUAAUGUAUAGUUAAAUCAUUAUUAAUAAAGAUUUGAUAAUAUAUUAUAUAAAUGUCUAUUAUUUUAUUUAUUUUUAUGCUAGAUAGUGUGAUAGAUCUACGACAAGCUUCCAAUCGAUCGAGUUUUUGAUAAACUGAAAAGUAAAGGAAAAUAACUACGUAAGCAAUGAAUGCUUAGUAAGCUCGUAUAAACUUUAAACAUAAUAUACCAUUUCAAUGAUAAACUUUAUAGGAUAAUUAUAAACCUAUAGCAAUGCCAUAUGAUUUAUAAAACUAUAUAACCAUCAACUCACAAAUGAGUAAGUCUCUCAACAUCACAUAUACUUUUCAUUCAUAACAUACUAGGAUUUUAUAAGUCAUAUUACAUAAUCGUCAACCUUUUCAUAAGACGAUGAACCAUUCCAUUUGCUUACCAUUCCACUUUAAAUGCUUAGCAUAAGUCUAAACAACCUUAUCAAAUCACGAGUUGGUGUAUUUAUCCAUGAUAUAGGUAAAUUCGUCUAUAGCAUAAGUAGAUUUCUCACAUAUAAGUACAUCAUUUAACUCAUCAAACCUUUUAUAUCAUCAUAUUACAUCCCAAUUAUGAACUUACCAUUCAAUUCCCUUUUCUUUCUCGUUUCAUUUGCAUAGUAUAAAGCAUAAGCAUAAACAUCAACCAUAACCACAAGCUUGGCACAAGCCUAAACGUCAUUAUCAUUAUACAAGUUAGUGUAUUUAUACAUAACUCUUUUGGGAUCAACCAUAUGAUAAACCAUUUCAUGAGAAAAUACAUCAUUUGAUUCAUACAACAUUUUCAUAAACAUAAGCAUAUUUUCAUUGGAUUUUACCAUUUCAAUCAUUUUCAUUAAUACAUGAUAUAGUUCAUUUGAAGACUUACCGUUCCUUUCCUUUUCAUGCCCGUUAAGCCACUUAGAAUAUCAUCAGAUACUAGAGAAAGCUCACACGAAGUGUGCUUAAACAUAUAAUUGUAACCUUUCCUUUACAUCGUUGCUCAUACAAGUUGUAGGUCAGAAUGUAGGCUAUACAAUGCUACUCACACGAGCUAUGGAGUAUAUAUAACAAAUGCAAGACCUCAGCAAUCGGUAGGACAUUUAAGAUUAACAAUCGAAACAUGAAAAGCCUAAUAACAUGUCAUUUGUAUCCUACGGAUUCCUAAUGUUCAACCAGGACUCGAUAAUUGUCAAUGCGUAGUGACAUUGAUAUGUUUAUAUAAAUAUCAAUCCAAUUUCAUUAAAAGUAACUUAGCAUGAUCGUCAAUUUGUAGUGACAUUGAUGCUGUUCACACGAGCUGUGAGUAUCCGCAACAAAUGUAGGACCUUAGUAAUCAGUAGGACAUUCAAGACUAGCACUCGAAACAUGAAAACCCUAAUGCCAUGUCAUUUGUAUCCUAUGAAUUCCUAAAGUUCAACCGGGACUCAAUAAUCGUCAAUUCGUAGUGACAUUGAUACGUUUAUAUAUAUCGAUCCAAUUUCAUUAAAAGUAACUUAGCAUGACUAUCAGUUCGUAGUGACAUCGAUGCUGCUCACACAAGCUGUGGAGUAUUCGCAACAAAUUCAGGACCUCAGCAAUUGGUACGAAAUUCAAGACCAGCACCCAAAACAUAAAAACCCUAAUGAUUAAGUACAUUUGUAUAUAUCGAUCCAACUGGGACUCAAUAACAGUCAAUUCGUACUGACAUUGAUACAUUUAUAUAUAUCGAUCCAGUUUCAUUAAAAGUAACUUAGCAUGAUAGUCAAUUUAAAUAACAAUAAUACAUUAAACAUUCAUACGAACUUACGUAGCUAAAUUGCAAUAAUGAUUAAGUACAUGGGCUAUUUGGUAAUUUUUUCUUCUCCUCAAUUUUUCACUCAAUUCAUUAAUUCAAAUAGUAAAACCACUUCUUUUUAUGCAAUUUAGUCAUUUUUGACAUUUUUACAAAAUUAUCCUUAACGUUUCAUUUUUAUUUAAUUUAGUCCCUAUGUCCUAAUCAUGCAAAUAAACUAAUUUCAUUACAAUCUGAAUGUUAAUAGCUUCCAUUGCAGCCCACAUUUUUAACAAUUUCACAUCAAGUCCUUGAACUAUUAUUACUUUAACAAUUUAAUCCCUAAAUAUUUAAAUCAUUAAAAAUUACUUAACAAAAUACUUAUAAAUAACAACUAAUACUUCAAAUUCUUCAAUUAACAUCUGAAGUCACAAAGAUUCAUCAAUGGCAACAUUCAAAAUCUUUAACAAUUUCAAAAACGAAGGUACGAACUAACUGGACCUGGUUGCAAUGAUCUCAAAAAUAAAAAAAUUUUCAAGAAAUGGGUUCAAAAUGGACUUACAUACAAAAAUCUUUCAAUGGCCGAACCUUGAAAUAUUUCUAUGGAUGUUUUUCUUUCUACAUUCGGUGGAAAACUUUGUUAAAGAAGAUGAUAAUGAUUUAUUUCUAUUUUACUUUAAUUUUAUUACUUAUUUUUUUAAUUAUUUUAACAUGUACACAUGAAUAAAACAAAAAUUUAACGCUCUCUUGCCAUCCCAAUAAUUAAAAAUGGUAUAUUUACCAUAUUAGUCCUUCCACUUAUAUUCAUUAAGACAUUUAAUCAUUCAAACAAAUAGUGAUCAAAUUUUACAUCCUUUACGAUAUAGUCCUUUUUAAUUAAUUAACUACUUGAACAUUUAAAUUUUUUAACAAAACCUUAAUAACACUCUAUAAAUAUUUAUAAAACUAUUUUUGACUCGGUUUAAAUGAGGUCCCGAUACCUCAUUUUUUAAAACCACUUGACUUUAGGGUCAUACCACUUAAACCUAAUUAUUCAUUCAAAUAGCAUAAAUUGCCAAUUAAAAAUUUAUUUUAAUACCAUAUUUGACUCAUAAAUAUUAAUAUUUACAAACUUAUUUGUCGAAUUUGUGGCCCUGAAACCACUAUUUUAGACACUACUAAAAAACGGGUUGUUACAUACCUAGACUGAAGAAUAGCAGUUGCAGAAGUUUAGGGGCUAUUCUGUAAUUUUUCCUUUUCCAUGAGUAUAACCUAGGUCUUGAUCUAAAAUGUAAAAUUUUUCCUAUGGUUUCCUACUCUAAAGCUUUACUUGAUGAAAUGUUGUUGCCUGAUCCUUCCAGAUACAGGAACAUUGUUGGUAAAUUGUAAUAUAUUUGUGCUACUCAACCUAACAUAACUUUGUGUUAAUAGAGUCAGUCAGCAUAUGAGUCAACCAACUAUAGGGCACUGGGGAUUAGUUAAACGCAUUCUCAGGUAUUUAAAGGGAACUUGUGAUUAUGGCAUCUGUUUUGGUCCCACCAACGAGUUAAAUUUAAAUGCAUUUUCUGAUGUUGAUUGGGGAAGUAGUGUUAAAGACAAAAGGUCAACUUCAGGUUAUGUGGUUUUUGUAGGAAACAAAGAUGGAGUUCGAAAAAACAAUAAGUUGUUGCUCUAUUAACAACUGAGGUGGAAUAUAGGAGCCUGGCUAGUAUUGUGUCUGAAGUCAUGUAGAUUCAAGCAUUACUGGAAUAGUUAGGUGUUUUGUUGUCUCAUGUACUAGUCAUUUGGUGUGACAAUUCCAGUGCAAUGGCCUUGUCCGACAACCUAGUUCUUCAUUCUCGAUUGAAGCACAUGGAGUUGCAACUUCAUUUUGUUCGAGAGGAUGUAGUAGCUAAUAACCUAGAAGUGAACUAUGUUCCCUUUUCAGAACAAGUUGCUGAUAUAUUGACUAAGCUACUAGCUGCUGGAUCAUUUAAUUACUUCAAAGAGAAACUAAAAGUUUGUGCAUCUAAUGAGUUCUAGAAGAAGGCUACUUAGUGAAAUUUUUUUAGUUUCAUAGGGGAAUGUUAGCAAUAAAUGUAUAGUUGGUUUAGUCUAUUAGCUGUUAAGACUGUUAAUUUGUUAGUUAAAGUUAGUUAGUGGUAGUUUUUCAUUUUUGUUAUACUUUCUUGAUUCUCUUCAUGUAUAUAUAUAUAUGGACAUUUAUCUGAGUGUAACGUAAAUAUAUGAAAUACAAGAUUGUUUUCUCUAUUAUUCUCAUUCCAAUUCUUCUUAUAAUCAAGCACAAUUAGUUGUUACUAAAAAGAUGAGGCUAUAAGAAAAAUUUAAAAUUAUUAUGGCUUAUGUGAAUGUAUUGUGUGAGAUUGAUGAAUAAAAUAACCAUCGAACGAAAUAUUAGAGAUAAAAAGUCCUGGUUAAGGGUAAUGACAAUGGCUAAUAUAUAUACAGUUUGAGAGAUUAAUGAGUAGAAAAAUUAUAUGAUGAGAUAUUAAAGAUUAUAGUUAUUGUUUGAGUGAAGAGGGAAGGAAAACUAUACGGUGGAGGUUCUACAAUUAAGUUUGACUUCAAAAAUUUUAUGUAUGGAUGGAGCGACUAUUACAGCUUGUUUGGUUUGGUGUAUUGGCAAUCGGUGGGCCCCACCUAAUACCUCUCUAACACGUCGUUUGGUUUGAUGUAUUGGUAAUACGCAUCUAAUCCAUUACCUUCUUAAUCGGUGAAAACCACCAAUUUCUAUUCCCCCCUCUUUGCCCAGAUUAGCUACUGAUUGAGCAUCACCUCCCUGAUUUGCCCUCCCACCAUCCCCUUGUUUCUCUUCUGUUCCUUUAUCCAAUUUCCUUCCUUAUUUCUUUGCUUUUGUUUUCUGCCGAUUUCCUCCCAGUCCAUAUGCCUCUUUGCUGCCGAUUUGUUCCCUCCGUUUCCUUUCUUUUCUUUUUCGCUCUGCCACUCUUUCGAUUGCCUUCUCAACCAGUCGACCUUCUUCUUCUCAACCAGUGAAACCAAAAAAGCCGACGAUAUCCCCACUGUCACCGUAGCCAUCGCUGGUUCUAUCGUCGACAACGCUCAGUCUCUCGAGCUCGCCACUCGAGUAAUGGAAAAUCCCUCUGUUUCUCUUCACUCUUUCUACCCUAUGUUACAAAUUUUCAUUUAAUUUCUCCUUUUUCUAUCAGAGUCAAGGAGGAAUUCAUCAUUUGGAAUCUGGAUUUGAAAAAAGCAAUGCGGGAAAGUCUUUAGUAUCUGAAGAAGGGAUUCAAGCUGGAAGGAAAAGAAGAGUUGACAGCUCACCUUCACGUGGUACUAAAAAAAGGAGGCAAACAAAAGAUGCUUCUGUAAUUCAAGAAGAGGAUUGUGCUCACAGGUAUCCACUUCUGCUCUUAUAUUGAUUUCUUUUGGCAUGUUAUUUAACCAUGUGCUGAUAUUCUGAUUAUUUCUUGAUUCAGAUAACUGAGGUUUGUUUACAAUUACGUUUGUUGGUUUUCAGUGUAAAUUCAACUGAACCAAAUUAGCUUCCAGAUCAGCCUGUAUCAUUGUCAUAUGAUCAGAGUCAAGGAGGAG